ACAAAACCAACCUGAAAAAUCAUCAAAAUCUCAAAUAGACAUUUAAACCAAAAGUUUUGGAAACCACCACUGCCUCUAAUAACACCACAACUACUACAAAAUAUAACAAAAUUCGACUGAGUGCUUCUACAACAUCAUCAUGUCAACAUGCAAGCAUUACAUUAAUUACCAACCUUUCUACGAAGUGCAUGACACACCAAAUAUUAGACAAGUACUUAAUAAACAUGAGUUCCCCAACUAUACAUUACAUACUAUGAAAUGGCCUCUUUCGCUUUCAGCAGGCUUUUCCCAGUAUUUCAAAAAUCAACGGUCUCCUGAUAGGAAAAACAUGACAAAAAUAUGAGUUUGUAACUCAGUGAGUGAAUGAUUUGUAAAUAAGUAAACUUUUUCCAUUUAUGCAUAUUUUUUAAAAAUUCUUACUUUAUUAAAUCCUUGAGAAUUUUUGAAUCUAGUAAUACUUUUAAAAACUAAACAUGAUUACAUUAUAAAAUUCUUUGUUCUAAAUUCUAGAUAAGUAUCUGUAAGGUAUAACAAAUAUAAAGAAUCUGAUAUUCAUGAAAAUCUAUGAAAUAUUGCUGCUGCUCAAUAGUAUAAGCUGAAAGCUUUAUUCUGAAAAUUGAAUUAACUGACUUUCAUAAUCUGAAAUCUGAGAACUGAAUAAAUACUGAAAAAUCACACCAAAAAGAGUACCCAAUGAAUAGCCUUACACAUGAAACAGAUGCGUAUGCUCUCUGGAAGAUUCUGGAGGACAUGUACCAAGCCAAGACCGCGCGAAACAAAGCCCUGUUGAUGAGGCGUUUGGUGAAUCUGAAAUUAAAGAGUGGAACUUCAGUUGCUGAGCACACCAGUGAAUUUCAGAGCUUGGUAAACCAAUUUUCAUAUGUGGAGAUGCCACUUGGGGAUGAAAUACAAGCUUUACUACUUUUAAGUUCUCUUCUUAAUAGUUGGGAGACGUUAGUAGUAUCUCUUAGCAACUUAGCCCCUAAUGGCAAACUUACCAUGUCUAUGGUUAAGGAUGCCCUAUUUAAUGAAGAGCCCAGAAGAAAAGACGUAGACACGGACCAAUCACAUGCCCUUGUCACAGUGAACCGGGGAAGACAACAAGGAGGCGUUCGAGGCAGGGGGAGAGGUAGAAGCAAAAGUAGGGGUAGAUCUAUAGAUGGAAGGAAGCCUACUUAUAAGUGCAACUAUUGUGGUAUGGAGGGCCACUUGAAGAAGAACUGCAGAAAAUUGCUACGAGAGCAAGGCCACAACAGUUCGCAGCCGAAAAAUAAGGAAGGAGAGAUACUAGUCACUAUUUCUGGAGAGGUGGCUAUCUGCUCCAUCCAUGAGAAGACAUGUCUUCAUGUCUCAAACCAAGAUAUUGAGUGCGUAAUAGACACUGCAGCAUCUUAUCACGCCACUCCACGCAAAGAUUUCUUCACAACAUACAAAGUCGGCGACUUUGGUGCAGUGAAGAUGGGAAAUACCAGUUCUUCUAAGAUUAUAGGAAUUGGUGAUAUUGAGAUACAAAUGAACCUCGGGUGUAAAAUAACCAUGAAGGACGUUCGACAUGUACCUGAUCUUCGGCUAAAUCUACUUUCAGGGAUAGCCCUUGACAAACAGGGCUAUGUCAAUCAAUUUAGCAAUGGCACAUGGAAAAUGAUGAAAGGUUCCAUGGUUGUCGCUCGAGGACAUAUAUGUGGCACUUUAUACAAGACUCAUAUGAAAAUGCAUGCGGAUAGCCUCAACGUAGUGGAACGCGAACCUUCUCAAAAUUUGUGGCACCAAAGACUUGGUCACAUGAGUGAGAAGGGAUUGUCUACUUUGACCAAGAAGGAGCUAAUCACAGUUGCUAAGGAAGCUGUGCUGGAUCCUUGCAGUCACUGUCUAUUUGGUAAGCAACAUAGAGUCUCCUUCAAUUUCUCUUCUACGAGACGAUCAGAGUUGCUCAAUCUAGUACACUCUGAUGUUUGUGGUCCCUUGGAGGUUGAAUCACUAGGCGGUAACAAGUAUUUUUUAACAUUCAUUGAUGACGCUUCUCGAAAGGUGUGGGCAUAUUUCUUGAAGACAAAGGAUCAAGUAUUGGAUUACUUCAAAUCAUUUCAUGCCAUGGUAGAGCGUGAAAUAGGAAAGAAGCUGAAAUGUCUCCGCAUAGAUAAUGGAGGCGAGUAUACUUCCAAAGAGUUUGAUGCCUAUUGCAAGACAUACGGCAUUCGACAUGAGAAGACGGUCCCACGUACUCCACAACAUAAUGGAGUCGCUGAGAGGAUGAAUCAGACAAUCAUGGAAAAGGUCAGAAGCAUGAUAAGUAUGGCUAAGCUGCCAAAGCCAUUUUGGGGAGAAGCUAUUCGAACCGCCUGCUACUUGAUCAACAGAUCACCAUCUGUACCGUUGAAUUUUGAAAUUCCGGAGAACGUAUGGUCUGGUAAAUAUCCCUCCUACUCUCACCUGAGAGUAUUUGGCUGUUUAGCCUUUGCACAUGUAUCCAAGGAGCUAAGACAAAAGCUAGAUGCAAGGACCACUCCAAGCAUCUUUAUAGGCUAUGGAGAUGAGGAAUUUGGAUACAGAUUAUGGGACCCAAAAACAAAGAAGGUCAUCAGAAGCAGGGACGUAGUGUUCCAUGAAAACCAAAAAUUAGAAGACAUUGAAAAGCACACAAUAUCUCCUAAUUCUAAUUUUGGUGCCCAAAAUAUUGCUCCAGAUCCAGCACCAACACAAUUCACCAUAGAUAACGACGAUGAGCAUGAGGAAAUGCCGGAAGCAGAACAGGAGGAUGAAGAAGGGGAUAUUGAUUAGGGGGAGUCACAAUCCUCUUCACCAGAAGUUGUUGGACCAUCACAUCAUUCAGAUGAUGAUGUACCUCCUGAAAUCAACGAUCCAUAGGUAAGAAGAUCUGAACGAGGACGGAUUCCAUCAACGAGAUAUCCAGAAUCAGAGUACCUUUUGCUCACUGACGAAGGAGAGCCAGAGAGCUUUCUGGAAGCACAAACUCAUGUGGACAAAGACAAGUGGAUACAAGCAAUGCAGGAUGAGAUGGAGUCACUGCAGAAAAAUCAAACAUAUGAGUUAGUUGAGCUUCCGAAGGGAAAGAAGACAUUAAGGAAUAAAUGGGUUUUCAAGCUCAAGAAAGAUAGCAGUGGAAAGGUGAUAAAACAUAAAGCCCGUUUGGUAGUCAAAUGAUUUCUUCAGAAGAAGGGAGUUGACUUUGACGAGAUUUUUUCACCUGUUGUAAAAAUGGCCUCAAUUUGAGUUAUCCUUGGAUUAGUAGCCAAUCUGAAUCUAGAGCUUGAACAGAUGGAUGUCAAAACAGCAUUUCUUCAUGGUGAUUUAUAUGAAGAAAUUUAUAUGGAGCAGCCAGAAGGUUUUGAAGUUUCAGGGAAAGAAAACUUCGUUUGUAAGCUAAAGAAGAGCUUAUAUGGUCUUAAGCAAGCACCUAGGCAAUGGUACAAAAAGUUUGACUCUUUCAUGGUGAGUCAAGGCUAUAAAAGAAUAGCUGCGGAUCAGUGCGUUUAUAUUCAACACUUUUCGGAUGGCAAUUUUGUUGCUCUUCUAUUGUAUGUAGACGACAUCCUGAUCGUCGGACAGGAUGCAACAAAAAUCAGGCAGCUGAAGAAGGAACUCUCCAAGUUCUUCGACAUGAAGGACUUAGGCUCAGCUCAACAGAUUUUGGGAAUGCACAUAACUCGAGAUAGGAAGAAUAGAAGGCUGUGGCUAUCCCAAGAGAAGUAUGUUGAACGAGUGAUCAAGAGAUUCAACAUGCAUAAUGCCAAAUCUGUCAACACUCCAUUGGCCAACCACUUCAAGUUGAGCAAAAGUUCAUGCCCCUCAUCCAAGAAAGAGAUUGAGGAAAUGUCAUUCAUACCUUAUUCUUCAGCAGUUGGAAGCCUGAUAUAUGCCAUGGUAUGUACAAGGCCAGAUAUUGCCCAUGCAGUAGGCAGGUAAAGAAAUGUUGUGGUUAAAGAGAUUUCUCCAAGAAUUAGGGAUCAAGCAGAAAGAUUAUAAAGUACAUUGUGACAGCCAGAGUGCUCUUGACUUGAGUAAGAACUCAAUGUAUCACUCUCGAACAAAGCACAUUGACAUUCGCUAUCAUUGGAUAACAGAGGUGAUGGAUCAACAGCUGUUGAGACUAGUAAAGAUUCACACAAAUGAGAAUCCAGCAGAUAUGUUAACAAAGGUGGUUAUAAGGGAGAAGUUAAAGCUAUGCAGAGACAUAGCUGGGUUAGUUGUCCGAUAGCAAUUGAUUUGAAUGCGACUGGAGGGGGAGAAUUGAUAUAUUCCAGCCGCAUUCAAGAUUCUUCCAUGCCGCAAUUGUUGAAAUUUCAACUGUUUAAUAAACAAGUAAUUCCCAUCAACAUGCAUGCGUGAAGGAUGAAGAAGAAAAUUUGAAUUAAAACUCUCCACCUUUUGACGGCCACAUCUUCAAUUGCUUAAUGGAGAAGAAAUCUAUGCAAGAAGAGAAUUUGAAAUGAAAUUCUCUGGCCGCAAUUCUUGAUUGGUUUUUGGCCACAAGUUUAUGACGGUUUGUAGCCAAGAUUUUUCUAUAAAUAUGAGUUACCGUAAAGAGAAUUAAUAUGUCCCUUGAGAGGAAGAAAAAUAGGAUAGAGAAGAGAGAAAAAAAGAGAGAUUAGAGAGACUCUUUUGAGAGGGUUUUUUUUGAGUUUGUAAACUCCGUUGUAAAUUCUAUUCAAGUAGAAAUAGAAUUGUUUUUCCUCUUUUAUUUUCUCUUCACAUGAUCGGAGAAUCACAACAAGAAUGCGAGGUUAAUAGGGUCAUAGUGGACACUAAUUUCAUCCAACCCAUUUUUGAGUUGGAGAUCGAAGAAGAUAAAGUUGUUGCUGCUACUGGUGUUGGCAUUAUCCAAUCUGUUGAGAGCGGGAACAUAAAAGUUCUUUACUGAGCAACUGGGACUCUCUUUAAUGGUCUUUACUGUGAUCAAAAUGAUCAAAAGGGUGAUAAUGAAGACGAUUAUCAGGCAGCAAAAUUUGUAUAAGAUAAAGAUAGGAUGCGCCAUAGCCCUUAUGUCGUCCUCCCAACUCAUUAUGAAAUUGUGGCUCUUUGAAGAUAAAGAACUGAAUUUAUGAAUACAUCAAGACGAUAUGCUGUUUGAAUUUAUAGCCCCAGUUUCAAUAACAUGUGUGACAAUAUUUACAAGUUCUCCAAGUGUUGACCAAGUUUUGGAAGCAUUCUCACCAAUGCAUUAUUCAAAAGGGCUAAAACAAGCCCCUAGUAUUGUUAUUGGACAAAUGUAAUAUACCUUGCAUUUGAAGUCAAUGGCUAUUUUUGACCUCCAAAUCAAGGGUAUAAUCGGAAACCAAAACAUAGCUGGUUGCAAUGGUUGGAAAGAUCUCAAGGACUGGCGUCACUGGCCCAGUUGACUUAAUAUUUUAAUCAAAGUUUAAAUUUAAGAAGAUUAUAAAAAACGCCCGUAGUUUGUUGAAUAAAAAGCCAUAUAUAUUGAACUCUGUUCAGCGCCUAAGAUGCAAGAUUAACCUUAAAGAAAGACUUCCAAGUCAUCAACAACCACAUGGGAUUAUUAAUGUGUGACGCGUGGGGCCACCAUAUUUAGAAGUCAUGUUCUCGAUAUGUGUUAUUAUAUCUAACUCCGUUUGAGCCACAUUAUUAUAAAAAUGAGAAUGAAAAAUAUAGUCAUUGUCCACAUAAGAGAUAAAAAUUCAAAUAAGGUGGUUUGAUGUGAUGGAUAACGAUCAUAUUUUUCAUCUUAAAGAGGAAUUAAUGGAGCUUAAACAGGGCCUUGCACUUGAUAAUUUACUAACAUUUUAAUAUGUAUCUUUCUAGGAUAAUGAUAUUUGUACAAAAUCUUGUUCACAAAAUGGUGUACCCACUCUCACAAAAUUAGCGGACCCCAUGUGAAUUUAAAAAAUGUCGAUUUGUGGUCCCCAUUGCCAUCGUGAGUAGUAAGUAAGAGAGUCUGUUAAAAAAAUUUGUACACGUAACAUGAUCCUUCUUUCUACACACAUUUGUGCUUGGCAUUCAUACAACGUGUUAUUUUAGAUUUUAUUAUCUUUGGGAAAUUAGAAGAAUACAUAUUCCAUUUAAUAAAAUUAAUAUUUCAGGCUUAAAUUUUCAAGCUGAAAGAUUUUGUUAAAACAAAAAUAAAAUAAAAAUACACAUUAAUCUACUACAAUCUCUAUAGUAGAGUACAUGGUAACAAAAGUAAAUGACCUAUUAUCUUGAAUCCCUGUUGAGUCCUUCAACAAUGUAAAACUCUUCUACUUCAUUUUCUUGGUUUGUUAUAUGUCAUCAUUCUCAUUUUGUUAAACAGGAAAUACUUCCCACCCAAAAAAUCGUUACUUCACCAACAAACGCUAAGAUGAGAGGGUAAAUCACAAAUUAUGACCAAAUAUUAAGUCAAUGUCUACUCCUAUUUUCUGUUGCCGGAAGCGAUUUUCUCCAUCAAUUAUGUGGGGGUCAGUUUAAUUUUUAUAAUAUAUUGUGGUAGCCUCAUUAUGACAGCAAAAAUGAAAAAUUUCCAUCAAUUUGUGACUUUUUUUUUUUUUUUUAUCAUAAAGUUGAAGUUUUUCUUGACUGAAUUUCAAUUAGGGGAAGACUUUGACACAAUUACGCUUCAUUAGAUCUUGUGAAUUUAUUGAGAGAGACGUUUAGAUCCUUAAGCACACUUGUUGAGGGGCGUAUGUUGUGCUUGUAGAAAUUAUAUAAAUAUCCUAGUGAAUCUAUACAAACGUAUAGGCCUUAGAUUUUUUUAUUUUAAAAAAUUCAGAAUCAAAUUUUGUUAAAAAUUUGCUAAAUAGGUUAAGGUAGAUUCACCACUUCAAUUUACAAGAUUGUCUUUGUUGACUCCAAAAAAUAUCGUCAACAGAUGUCAGUCCCACCCGCGCACACGUGGGCGAAUGUCCAACACCCUAAGACGCGUGGACGGUCUAAAACGAGCAGUUCAAAGGGCGUGGGAGUAGCCCAACGACGCGGGACGGUGACGUUCAGAAUCUGGCAGGUUGUUCGUGAUCUGAUUGUAUAAUAAUUACCAACCGGAGUUCGUAAAUGUAUAUGUAAAUGUGUAUAAACUCAAUUUGUGUAUUGCAAGUAAAAGAGAGAGAGUUGAGUAAAGUGUAGUUCUUUGUAUUGAUUCUUGCAUUAGCCUUUUAAUGUUACACAAGGGAAGUAUUUAUAGUGGUACACGUGAAAUGGGGAGCCCUUGGAUGAGGUGGCACGUGGCCUCAUCUCUUUGAUUUAAAUAUCUUAUCAGGCAUGAUGUUUGACUUGCUAACUUGUGGCGCAUUUAUUACUUGUGCAGAGCCCCCAUACUAGUGACAAGAUUUGACCUUUAUGCUUAUGACAAACAUUCCAUCAAUCAUUCGAAUAAGAUCUUUAUGCAGACGAUCUCUUGGGAGAAGUGAACAUGGAGGACAUUCCCUUGUGGUUCGGAGGCUCCUGCAUCAGCUUCGGGGUUUCAGCCAUUUCACACAAUACUUCCGCUUGAGGGCUUCAACUAUCUUCAACUAGCUUCGGCAUCAUGGAUUCGGUUCAUGGGCCUCGCCAUGUGGACCUCGGGUACGUCACAGGCCUCGGUAAAAGGGAGCCUUGGCUAGUGGACUUCGGUUUGAAGGGCUUCGGCCAUUGCCCACCUCGGCAAUAUAUGCCACCUCAGCUGGAGUGCCACGUGGUUCGGCCUGAGUGGGCCAUUGGCCCAGGUAGGUUGGCCAAGUAUGACAAUACACAACAAUAGUCCCCCAAGUUCAAGUAUAGAUAUUUAUGUCAUGGUUGGAGUUAGAGAUGUGCUGCUGUAGAUGAACGAUGAAGAGCCCGAGGAUGUGUUGAAGAUGAGGCCGAGGUGAUUGGGAAACCGAACUGCGAGGCUUGUUGGCUGAAUGUUGAAGUUGAAGCCGAGGUGGUUGGGGAAUCAAACCUGCGAGGCUUGUUGGCUGAAUGUUGAAGAGGAAGCCGAGGUGGUUGGGGAAUCAAACCUGCGAGGCUUGUUAGCUGAAUGUUGAAGUUGAAGACGAGGCUCAAUGGGAAUGAUUGUGCGUUGAUAGCUGUGCCAAUGAUUUGAUGUUUUAUGCUUGUUUUCGAGGAAAAGUGGCUGACCCGUACGACUUCCAAGGCGCCUGCUGCCAUCGAAUUAAAAAUACAAUUAUGAUGGCAGCUGGAGCUUCUAGAAGCAGAUGCGUUGGAUGGGGUGCUUGGGAAGCACGCUGGAAUUUGAGGUGCAGGUUUGAAAAACCGUUUGAAUUCAACGCCUCGGAUUUAUUCUACAAUGAAGGGCUCAGAUUGACUGAGAUUCGAUCUGAUAGUUGGGGUUUGUCUUGGACCUCUAUAAAAGGUGAGAAAAUUCUAUUUUUCAGGAUUUUUGAACACUUGCAAUCUGAUUCUCUCUCAAAAUCUUGAACUUUUCGGCGUCGAGGCUGCCUGUUCUUUGAUUUUUCGGCCUAUCUCCAUUUGCGUAGUUCUUCCCUUAGGUAUUAUUGGCAGAAAAACCCUUUUUGUUGUGUUAAUUUUGUGAAAUAGAGUCCACCUCGAGUAGGGAGCUGGUGACUGUAGCGUCGUUAGAUUAUGGGGUCAGUCAGAGGGGGGAUGCCGAGGCUAAUAGGUAUGCCAUGACCGAGGACCCAGUAGAUUAUACUGAAGAGUGGGGGCGUCUAGGGUGCCUUCAAGUAUGACGUGGAGGAGGUUGGUGGAGAUCAGGGAGAGAUACAGUGUCCCUCAAACCAUAGAAAUGUUAGUUCCCGAGCUAAACGAGCGGGCCUACUAUCCGAGGCCCGGUUGUGUGGCAGUCAGUGAAUACCUGUUUAAGGCAGGUAUGCGUCUUCCUCUGCGCCCCUUCUUUAGGGCGGUGCUGAGGAAUUUUAUGUUGUUGCCGACCCAGGUUCUGCCAAAUGGGUGGAGCCAGUUGGUCGGCUCGUACUUCCUGUGGAAGGAAGUGUCACUUGGGAAGGACAUGCCUCUCCAUGUAUUCAUGACCCUUUUCCAGCCUCGGGUCAUAGGGAAGGAGUCCAUGGGGUGGUAUUAUCUUACACCUUGGGGGGCUCACGCACCCUUUGUGGUGGGACUGCCUUCCUCCAUCAAGGGGUGGAAGGAGUCCUGGUUCUGGGUGCGAGGAAAAUGGCAGGCAGUGGAGGGGGACAAGGCUCUUUCUUGCACAGUGCCAACCCAGUACUACGAAUCUCGUGAGUCUCCCAGCCCCUGCUUGUACUUCUGAAUUGAACACUUGAACUUUUCUAACUGUUGGGGACUUCCAUUGCAGAUUGUAGAUCGAGGUUCAAGCUCAGCAGGGAAGAGUUUGAGGUGAUAGAGGACAUCUACAAGAAAUCUCUGAAGCUCCGCCACUUUGACCACCCGAUCGACAGGAGUCGCUACUUCCUGGAUUUUGGAAUGAUGGCUUCCAGAGGUAUGAGGCUCCCAUAGUUGUAAAUUUUCUUGUCCUUUUGUUUAGAUACUGAUGUGCUGACCUGACGUGCUAUGCAGAUAAAUUCAAGAGGAGGGAGUACCCAACUCCGGACAUGGUUACAAUUCUGAAGGCCACCACCACUGUCAAGGUGAGGCCCCUGAAGUCGGGGUCCAGUGGGGCCAAGGAGGUCAGAGGCAGGGUGGAAUGCCUUUCCAAGGAUAGCACAACAAAGGCUUCCGAAGAGGGGGCUCCCCAGAAGCUAAGAGGAGGAAGCUUGUGCACGUCACCAGCUCAUCAGGGAAAUUUGGGACAUCAGUGUCCCACGAGGCUAAAUCAACAGGCGAGCCAAAGCUAUUCGCAUCCGCCUCCAAAGCCAUCAAAAUAGAGAUGGUCAGAGAGGCCGAGGUUGAGGAGGCCAGAGAGGAGGCUGCGAGGAGAGCUGCUGAGGCUGCUGAGGAGGAGGCAGCAAAACUGGUGGAAGGAAGGAGACCUUGGCCCCAGCCUUGGUGGAGGCUCUUCCCCAGGAGGUCUGGAGCGCCACAGAAAACUUUUACCAAUUUUGGACGGACAGGUGGCAGCUGCAUGCUUGCGAUGCCACCGACCUGAUGAGGGCUUUGGUGAGCCAAAGCGUCAGAACCUUUGGCCCCGCUUUUGAAUGCAGGGAGGCCCUGAGUGAUUUUCAGACAAGGACCCAGUCUUCGGAGGAGUCGCAGAGGAGUUGAAGGCAGCUAGGGCCUUGGCGGAAGAAGCCAGGGCCCAAAAACUUGAAGAAUUGGCCAAGUUGGAGUCUGCCUUAGCCCAGAUUGAGGCCUUGAAGAAGGAAGUCCAUGAGUCACAGUGCGAGGUGGCCUCCCUGACAAAGAAGGUGGAGGUCUCCAAUGAGCACCAGAGAGUGACCGCCGAGGCCCUGGAGAAGGGAAAUCUCUCCUUAGCGGGUGCCCAAAAGGCUUACCAAUUCUUGGAAACCCAAAUCAAGUGGUAUGUGGAUGAUGCCUCCCAUGCCAGAGAGGAGGAUCAACAGGCGAGGGAGGAGGCGAUGCAGGAAUACGUCGCCAACUUCCAUAACACAGAGGAGUAUAAGAGCUUCGGUGCUUACUGGAGAAACUUUGCCUAUGCUGAGGUGAUGGAGCAAGCAGAGGAACUGUAUCUCAAUUUGGAUCUGACUCAACUCAGGUCUGAAUUUGUGGACGAGGUACCUCAGACCCCUGCUGAGGAGGUGCAGGGAAAUGAAGCAGCUGAGGUAGAGGAGAUAAAUGCCGAUGCUCAAGCUGCCGAAGCCCCAAGUACUGAGGCUCCUCCCCCAUCUACCCAGGCUUAGAUUAGUUUUCUUUUUAGUCUUUCGAAUGUAAUGGCCUGAGGCCCACUUUUGUAAUCUUUGUUGAAGAUCAAUAUGAUGCCUUUUUCAUUCAUUGUUGUUUCAUUGUUGUUUCUUUAUCCAAGUGUACGCGCCUCGUUAAGCAAAUGAACUUAAAAGUUGACAGAAGCACUAACUGAAUAACUUUAACUUGGUACCUUAACUUCAAUCACUUUAAACAACUGGAUUGAACGACUAUAUGAACCUCGGACUUAAGCAAAUGAACUUUACUUAAGCAUAAUAACUGUAUGAGCCUCGGACAUAAGCGAAUGAACGACUGUAUGAGCUUCGGACUUAAGCAAAUGAACUUUACUUAAGCAUAAUAACUGUAUGAGCCUCGGAUUGCACGUGAGGUGGCUUCUCCCAUUGGCGUUAAGGGAGGCAUGUGCUAGUGCCUCAGAGUUCAAGCGAGGUGGCCCAGAGGUGGGACGCGAGCCUCUCCUCCGAGGUGACGACGCAUCCCAGACAUGGUGGAUGCUGUAGCCAUGUUGAGGCUUCUCCCCUUGGCAUUCAGCCAGGCCAAAGGGAGGCAUGUACUAGCACUUCGAAGUUCAAGCGAGUUGGCCUAGAGGUGGGACGCGAGCCUCUCCUCCGAGGUGACGAUGCAUCCCAGACAUGGUGGAUGGUGCAGCCAUGUUGAGGCUUCUCCCCUUGGCGUUCAGCCAGGCCAAAGGGAGGCAUGUGCUAGCACCUCGGAGUUCAAGCGAGGUGGCCCAGAGGUGGGAUGCGAGCCUCUCCUCCGAGGUGACGACGUAGUACAACACGUUAAUUUAAUCAUUGGAAUUUAUUGAACCAUAGAAAUAUUACAAAGGCUGGAAAAGGUCAUCCAGCAAGAUAGCACAUUUAUUGGUAAUAGAUCCUGAGGUGUUCUACGUUCCAUGGACAGGGUUGUGCCUUUCCGUUCGUGUCUUCAAUCGAGUAAGUCCCAGGUCAAACCUCUUCUCUGAUUUUGUAUGGACCUUCCCAGUUCGAGCCUAAGGAAACGGAACCGGGUUUUUUUGAGGACAGGAAGACCCUUCUGAGUACGAGGUCGUUGAUUCGGAAUGACCUCUUCUUAACUUUCGAGUUGAAGUACCUUGUCAUCUUUCUUUGAUAUGUGCCGAGCUUCAAUUGGGAGUCAUCUCUUCUUUCUUCAAUGAAGUCGAGGUCGAACCUCCGAAGCUCAUCGUUGGUUAUCUCGCUGAAGUGCAGACGUCUUGGGGAUGGAAGUCUAACCUCCACGGGGCUCAUCGCCUUAGUUCUAUAUGCCAUGAGGAAGGGCGUUUUCCCUGUUGGGGUCCUGGUGGUGGUUCGGAUCGCCCAAAGGACUUGGGGCAGCUCAUCAAUCCAAGCCCCUUUUGAUACAUCAAGCUUCCUUUUCAGGACGUGCUUGAUUGUCUUGUUCACGGCCUCAACUUGGCCAUUUGCUUGUGGGUGGUGAAGUGUGGAGAAUUGCUUCUUUAUGUCGAGCUCUUCGCAUAAUUCUCUAACCUUCUUGUUGUCAAACUGUCUGUCAUUGUCUGAGAAAAUUAAGUAGGGAAUUUCGAACCGACAAAUAAUAUUUUUCCAUAAGAACUUGGAGGUGUUGGCUUCAGUGAUUUUUGCCAGUGGUUCAGUUUCGACCCACUUUGUGAAGUAAUCAAUGGCUAAUAUUGCAAAACUUGCCCCUCCUCUACCCUUAGGUAGGGACCUAUGAGGUCCACACCUCAUUUUGAGAAAGGCAAGGGGCUGGAGAUGGCGGUCAAAUCCUGCGAUGGCUGUCUUUGCAUAGGAAAGAAGCGCUGGCAUUUGCCGCAUUUUCGUACAAACUCGAGGGCGUCCUGCUUUAAGGUAGGCCAGUAGUACUCCUACCUCUAUAUUUUCUGUGCUAGAGAUAGACCUCCGGAGUGGUUGUCGUACACGCCCUCGUGGACUUCUCUUAAUUUGUAGGUAGUCUCUUCUCCUCCGACGCACCGUAAGAGUGGAGAGGAGAAGCUCCUCUUGUAUAGAAUGUCAUCAAUGAAGAGGAAGUGGGCUGACCUCCUUCUUAGCUUGUAAGCCUCAUUCUUGUUGGUGGUUAGUACUUGGUCUUUGAGGUAUGCUAUGAUUGGCUGCAUCCAAGUGGGAGUUCCAGCGAUCCACAUUACAGUAGGGGCCUCAAUCGAAGGCAGGAGGAGGUGCUCAAUAGGUACUACUGUGAGUAGCUCUGAGUCCUUGCUACUAGCCAACUUCGAGAGUGCAUCUGCAUGCGCAUUUUUGAUGCGGGGGAUCUGGAUCAACUCAAACUUUUCGAAGGAUGGGAUGAGGUUCAUCACCAUUUUCAGAUAGGAGGCCAUCGUUUUGUCUUUGGCUGAGAAGUUACCAUUGACUUGGCUAACAACUAGCUGGGAGUCACUGCUGAUGAGUAGCCUCUUUACUUGCAUUUUUGUGGCUAGCCUGAGGCUCGUAAGAAGUGCCUCGUAUUCUGUUGCAUUAUUGGUAGCUUUGAAUCCGAACCUCACCGUUGAGGUGAGUUUGUGACCUUCGGGGUCGAUGAAGACAACCCCGACACCUGAGCCGACAUCACCGGCUGAUCCAUCGACGAAGAGGUUCCAUGUGGGGGACUCGGCGGGUUCCACGAUUUCAUCUACCUCGGGUAUGUUGGAGAAUUCAGCCACAAAGUCAGCCAAGGCUUGCCCUUUGAUGGUUGCCCUAGCCUUGAACACAAGGUCAAAUUCACUUAGUUCCACUGCCCAUUUCAAUAACCUUCCUGAGACAUUGGGCUUUUGGAGUACCUGGCUCAGGGAAAAGUUCGUCAGGAUAUGAAUGGUGCGAGCUUGGAAGUAGGGUCUCAAUUUCCUAGAGGCCGUGAUCAAGGCCAAAGCGAGCUUCUCCAUAUCGGGGUAACGGGUUUUCGGCGAUAGGAGCGCUUUACUUGUGUAGUAUACAAGGAGUUGAGUGGACCCUUCUUCCCGAAUCAGAACCGAGCUGAUGGCCUCAUUGGAGAUGGCCAAAUAUAAUUGUAGGAUAUCACCGGACUUCGGUUUGGAGAGGAGGGGGGCCUGUUCCAAGUUCCUUUUCAGGCAUUGGAAGGCCUCUUCGCAUUUAUCAGUCCACUAGAAUUUCUUCCCAGCCUUCAGCACUUUGAAAAAUGGGAGGCAUUUGUAGAGACGAAGAGCUAAGUGCGACCACUCGCCCGGUAAGACUUUGCACCUCCUUCGGCUUUCGGGGGGACCUCAUCUUGCAUAGAGCCUCAAUCUUCUCGGGGUUGGUCUCAAUUCCUCUUUGGUUGACCAUGUACCCCAAGAACUUGCCGAAGGCUACCCCAAAGGCACACUUUAGGGGGUUGAGCCUCAUCCUAUACCUUCUUAGGAUUUGGAAAGUACUGUUGAGGUGCAUUGUGUGGUCCCUAGCCUCCAAACUUUUUACUAGCAUGUCGUCCACGUAGACCUCCAUUGUUUUGCCAAUGAGGUCCAUGAACAUCUUGUUUACAAGUCUUUGGUAGGUCGCUCCGACGUUUUUCAACCCGAAGGGCGUCAUUCUAUAACAAUACAGGUCUCGGUCCGUGAUGAAAGAGGUGUACUCUUCAUCGGCCGGGUGCAUGGGAAUUUGGUUAUAGCCGAAGUACGCGUCCAUAAAGCUUAACAACUCGUGCCCAGCCGUGGAGUCUACUAGUUGGUCAAUCCUUGGGAGUGGAAAGCUGUCUUUCGGGCAAGCUCUAUUGAGGUUGGUGAAGUCGAUGCACACCCUCCACUAGCCAUUGUGUUUCUUUACUAAAAUUGGGUUGGAGACCCACUUCGGGUAGGUUGCCUCCCUGAUGAAGCUAUUUUGGAUGAGCUUCUGAACUUCUUCCUUUAGGGCCUCAUACCUCUCAGGAUUGAGGACUCUCAUUUUUUGUCUAUGCGAGGCAACCUUAGGAUUGAUUUUCAGGUGGUGGCAGCUGACCUUGGAGUCUAUGCCUACCAUGUCCUCAUGCUUCCAGGCAAAGACAUCAAGAUUAUUGCUCAGAAAAUCCUUAAUCUUUUCCUUCAGAAUGUUGGAUAGGCAUUUGCCUACCUUCAACACCUUUGAUGGGUCUCGGGAGUCUACCGAGAAGUUCUCAAGUUCCUCUACUGGGGAUGCUUGAGGCUCGUGUUACAUUAUGCGGGGGUCAAUCUCAUCAAUGACCAGCACCUCCGGAUUAGGUGGUGCGUCGAUCAUAUCAACAUCUUCUAGUUCGGUGGGAGAAUCAUCUGGGACAUCAGCCAUGACCAUAUCAGCUAUGAUUACAUGGACGUCCCGGGGCUCUACCUUCUUGAUGGAGUUUAGAUAGCACUCUCUCGAGCCUCUUUGGUCGCCUCUCGCCAUUGCCACCCCAUUUUCUGUAGGGAAUUUCAUGCAUAGGUGGUGGAUGGAGGUGACUGCUCCCAAUUCCUUUAGGGCUGGUCUGCCCAACACUCCAUGGUAAGCCGAUCGGCUGUCGACAAUGAGGAACUCCAUGAAGUUCAUCAUUGUUUGUUGGGAUUCUCCCAUCUCCACUGCAAGUGUUAUCUUUCCCCUCGGAGUGAUGCUAUCUUCGGUAAAUCUGCACAAUGGGGUGGUGGUGGGCGUCAGCUGAUGAUCCAAUAUCAUCUUGUCAAAGGCGGAUCCGAAUAGAAUGUUGACGGAGCUACCGUUGUCCACUAAGAUUCGUUUGAGCCCAUUAUGGGCUAUGACAGCUCUCACCACGAGUACAUUGCAAUGGGGGUAAUGAACCCCCUCGGCGUCUUCCUAGGUGAAGACAAUGGGUGGAACUUGGUUUCUUCGGGAGCUACUAUCCACAAUGUAGCUUGUCAAAGAGGGGUGUUUGGCUUCCCGAGCGUAAUUCCUUUUGACGUUUUGUGUUUCACCACCAACAUACGUGCCUCCAAAUAUGGUAUCCACCUCGUGGAUAGGGGCCUCAUCUUGAGCUUGUCGAUUUCUUCGGUGCCUACGCCCUUCCCUGGGCCUCUCUGCAUCAUGCUCCCUUUGUCGUGGGGAUACAUCCCUUUGAUGGGGAGCGGCCUCCUCACACCCACGUCGGUUGUCGUACCUGGGCGGGGGCCUGUUCGCCUGGGGCGAAUCAUGUCUGUCUCUAGCGAGUUCUUGCCGGGAGCAGUGUGCAUAGUCUUUGCAGUCCGCUGUGUCAUGCCCAUAGGACCUGUGGUGCACACAGUAUCCUGAGGUUCUCGUUUUUGACCUAUUUCUAGGUCCUGAACCUCGGCCUCGGCCUCUCCCCCGACGGGGUCCUUGCUGGGCCUCCAUCUGAUGGGGGUCAGUAAUUGGGUUGACAUCUUCAUAUGCCAAGGUAGGAACCGUAUUCAAAGUAGUGGUGGCAAGUGCUUGGCCAGAGUUAUUAUUUUCGGCCUGGUUCAUUUGGUAGCCCAUCAGGUGGAAGGUCGGGCCUCUACCGCGCUAUCUUUGAGGAGGUGGGAGGCCUCUACUUGCCCUGUUCCUAUGCUUGAUCAAUUCUUCAUUGAUGAUCUCCCUUCUCAUCAUUUCGAGUAGGGCGUCAUAGGUUGUGGGGUCUUGAUUCUGCACGUCCCUCCUAAAUAGGGUGUUAAUGUUCAGACCUCCCCUUAAUGCGGAUAGUGCCUCUCGAUCGGUGACUUGUACGCAAUACGUCAUCUCAUCGGUGAAGCGUGAUAAGAAGCUCUUUAGGGACUCCCCAUGUGCUUAUAUCAUGUCUUGGAGACGUUGGAUGGGGGUCUCUCCUUCUUUGCUCACCGCAAACUUUUUCAGGAAUGUUGUCUUGAACUCGGGCCAGCUUCUAAUGCUCCCAGGUGGCAAUCUGCUAUAUCAAAUUUCAGCCGCUCCACUAACUGUUAAAUGGAAGGCUCUGCACUUCACGCCGGGGUGGCGCCCCUUAGGCUCAUGUGAGUUUUAUAAGCAUUCAGGUGCUUCUCCAGGUCGCCUCUUCCGUCAUACUUUGGUAUUUUUGGCAUAACAUAGUGGCUUGGGACCUGGGCAUUCCUUAGUUCCUUUGAGAAUGGUAGAUUGUCAUCAUCAUCGUCCAAGUCGCAGGACCUCUGUUGUUCAUCGGAGUCGUACUCAUCAGCCUCAUACCCUGGUUGUUGGUAAGAGGUUCCGGGGCGGUCCCUAGCCUCUUCCUCCCUCAUCUGCUGCCUAUUUCUAGGCGGAGCAACACGGGGGGCAUUUUCAUGCCUUUUCUCCGGCUGCUGGGGCAUUGGAAGUGGAGGAGGUGGCCUUGUUCGAGGCUAUUGCUGCUGUUGCCUGAGCCUCGGUUCGACGGGGUUGAUUCUAUCAAAAACACUUCCUGCCCUCCUAUGUCUUGGAUCUUGCUCAUAAGGAGGUGGAAAAUUAUCAUGGCUCAUGUGGACCUCGGUGGGUCGGCCAGAGACGUAGUUGGAAGAAACAUCAACUUCCACUUCCCUUUCAAAUGGGCUUCCACCUCGGCCAUAGUCUGGCGAAGCAGCUCUAUGACUUUGAACUUCAUCCUCUUGCUGGUAGUGCCCUUGGGGGGCAUAUGGAGAAAUGGGGAAGCCUCCUUGGCCCUGCAUUUGGGCCAUAAGCUCCCUUAUAGCCAAGUUUUGGCUAGCAAUAUCACUCAUGUUGGCUGCCAUGACGGUCAUUUCUCUUGAUAGUCGUGCCGUCGCACGCAUCCCACCUCUUCUUUAGUGGUGGUGGAGUUUCUGCCGAGCUACUGGGGCAGCCGGCUGAGGAGGCACGAUCGUGUUUUCUCUUACCCUCCUAGGGGGAGUAUCUUCAUUGGAGCUCAUUUUCUUUUGUCAGACUUCAGAUUUUGCUAAGUAAUGGGGCUUCUUCCUAUUCUUUUUCAAGAACAAAUCAUUUUUCAAGGGGGGUUGCCCAAAUGUUUUUUCAGUAAGCUUUUACCACAAGGUUACUUGUGGGUAUGGUAUGGUUUCUCACAGACGGCGCCAAUCUGUUGACCCCAAAAAAUGUCGCCAACAGAUGCCGGUCCCACCCGCGCACAUGUGAGCGAUUGUCCAACACGCUAAGACGCGUGGACAGUCUAAAACGAGCAGUUCAAAGGGCGUGGGAGUAGCCCAACGACAUGGGACGGUGACGUUCGAAAUCCGGCAGGUUGUUCGUGAUCCCGAUUGUAUAAUAAUUUCCAACCGGUAUUCGUAAAUGUGUAUAAACUCGAUUUGUGUAUUUCAAGUAAAAGAGAGAGAGUUGAGUAAAGUGUAGUUCUUUGUAUUGAUUCUUGCUUUAGCCUUUUGAUGUUACACAAGGGAAGUAUUUAUAGUGGUACAUGUGAAAUGGGGAGCCCUUGGAUGAGGUGGCACGUGGCCUCAUCUCUUUGAUUUAAACAUCUUAUUAGGCAUGAGGUUUGACUUGCUAGCUUGCGGCGCAUUUAUUGCUUGUGCAGAGCUCCCAUACUAGUGACAAGACUUGACAUUUAUGCUUAUGACAAAUAUUCCAUCAAUCAUUCAAAUAAGAUCUUUAUGCAGACGAUCUCUUGGGAGAAGUGAACAUGGAGGACACUCCCUUGUGGUUCGGAGGCUCCUGCAUCAGUUUCGGGGAUUCGGCCAUUUCACACAAUACUUCCGCUUGAGGGCUUCAACUAUCUUCAACUAAUUUCGGCAUCAUGGCUUCGGUUCAUGGGCCUCGCCAUGUGGACCUCGGGUACGUCACGGAUCUCGGUUACGUCACAGGCCUCGGUAGAAGAGAGCCUCGGCUAGUGGACUUCGGCUUGAAGGGCUUUGGCCAUUGCCCACCUCAACAAUAUAUGCCACCUCAGCUGGAGUGCCACGUGGUUUGGUCUGAGUGGGCCAUUGGCCCAGGUAAGUUGGCCAAGUAUGACAAUACGCAACAGUCUUCACAUUGUUCGUACUUAACGUGAAACUUUUGUCAGGCAAUCUGGGAAAAAGUAAUAGUUUUAUACCGUUUUGCGUGCGGGGCUACCCCUAAUUAUAGGGAGUUAUUUUCUAAAGUUCUGUUUACAUGAAGACACGCUUGAGAAUUUACAACAAUUUUAAUAUUUUACAUAAUUGUUCGUAGUAUAAUAGUAUUCAUACACCACAUCGAUUGAUUAUCUUGGACAAACACGAAGGAUCCACAUUUAUGUUGGGUUUUGUGACCUAAAUUAGAUUGAAUUUUUGAGAAUAUAUAUAUAUAUAUAUAUAUUUUUAUUUUUUUUAUUUUUUUUUAUUUUUUUUAUUUCACGUGACUUUUUUUUUUGUUUCAAUUUUUUGUGGUAUUUCUAAAAUUUGGCAUACACCUCUAUAAAUACUGUACUUUUUUUUUUACAAAUUUUGUAUUACUGUAAUAUAAAAUAAUUGUGUAAGCAAAGUUAUUGUUUUAUUUUCUUCAUAUUAGUCAAUUGAAUAAAAUACUUCAUUCCUUUGGCAUUUUUUUUAGCGAUCAUAUGUUUCAUAUCAUGUCAUAUAUAUUACUUCAACCCGUUAUAUUUCCCAACAAUUUAAUCUAAUAAAAAUCAAUGUCUCCUACUUGAAUUUUCAACGUGAGAUAAUUUGUGAGAAAAAAAUACAUAUUCCAUAGUCUUUAUAGUGACUUACAUGAUAAGAAAAACAUUGGUAAAAUUAAUCAAAUUUUAUCUUGAAUCCUCAUCGAGUCGUUCGAUAUUGUAAACUUUUCUCCAUUAUACGCCAUUUUCUUGAUUCGUUCUUAUAAUUAUGGUUAUCUUUUUGGUAACCACAAAAUACUUUUCAGGCAAAAGUCCAUAGUUAUUUCCCGGCAAAACAUUGUUUGGGAGGGAUUUUUUUACACAAAAAAAUUGAUUUUUUGACCGUUAUUUCAUUAUUUCAGCCGUAAUUUUUGACUUUUUCUCUCACAGGUGAACCCCACUUUUCUUCUAAAGGUCAAAAAAUCAAUUCUCAAAAUCCCUCCCAAACGGGCUAAGAUGAGAGUGUAAGUUUCAUAUUAAGACCAAAUAUUAAGCCCAUGUUUAAUGUUCGUUAUUUCAUCGAAAUGAGUUUUAUAAUAGUAAAUUUUUAGAAAAUGUGUGGUUAAAAAAUAGAAAAAAAAUUUGGUUUAUGUGUAAAAUAUUUUAGGGAAAUUUUCAUAAAUGUUACUAAAUUUGAAAAUCCACAAAAAAAAAAUUUUAUUUUCACUAAAGAUGCUCAAAAAGUCACUUUUUUCUGUGAAAUGUUCAAAUUACCCUUAGUGAUACAUUUUUAGGAGCAUUUAAUGCUUAAUUUGAAUGACAUUAAUAUUAUGAUGUGAUGAUUUAAUUUGUAUAUUAUAAACAUUGGAUAUAUGAUUAUUAUAUUUUUAUCUUAUAACUUACUAUUUUGUAAAUGUUAAAUACAAUAUGGUCAUAUUUAUUUGAAAUUUUGAAACUCUUUUUCAUUGAUUUAUUUGGUUUUAUGUUUUUGAAUGGUAAACAUACCAAUAUCAUCCACAAAAUGUGAAUGAUUUCAUAUUUAAUGGAGCAUUGAGUUAUUUAUUUUUGGAAAGAUUUGUAGUUCAGAACUGAUUAUCACCAUUAAUAUUUUGAAUAAUUUCUUCAAAGGUACCAAAUACAUGUUUUCAAGCUUUCUGAUAGUUCCGACAAUUCAUCUUUCGAAUUCGACAUUUCAAAGUCGUAGAAUUAGACAUAUCUACUAUCAAACUCGACAUUUAAAAACUGUCAGGAUAAACAAUUUAAUUGUCGAGAUUCAACCAUUCAUUUCACAUUUUGCUAUUAAAUGAAUUUAAAUAUUCAAAAAUAACACUUUCAUGCUAUUAAAUAUUGACAUAUUGAUUGUACAGAGUUCUUACCGUUGUAAUCUCAAUUUUUCAGGUCUUAGUAAUCAUUUGAGGUUCAUCGUGUUGUAUGAGAAAAAGUUUGUUCACGUAGAUAACAAAUGGAAGUGGAAAGUGGACGAAAUCACUUUCAUUUUAGUUUCAACAUGUAUUACCCUAUGCACUCGCUAUGGUAAAGUUGGCCAUAAUCGAACCGUGUAUUCUAACCCCAUUCUAACACAACUCACAUAAAUAGGCUUGAUGUCUGAAAAGUGGUUCGAAAUUUUAUUUUGAAUGUUCCCCUGAUAGCAUUGUACAUUGUGGAGUUAUAUUAUCAUUUUCAUUUUAUUAUCGUUUGCAGACAUUAAUCGUAUUUAAGUUCACAAGUAAAAUAAUUACAUAGACAAAAGUUGCAUACCAUCCCAACAGAAGGAGUCUAUCAUUUUCGAUGGAUGGUUGUAAAGUAGAAAAUUGGACUAUAAAUAAGAUGUAUAAAGGACAUACUAUUCCCGAGCACAUUCUCAACUUACAUUAUCAUUUUCAACUUAUAUUAUCAUUACUAUUUCAUUAUCGUUUUGCAGACAUUACAUAAGAUCCUAACAGUUAAACUGUCAGUCCGAACAGAAAGUUUCUGUCAUUCUCGAUAGUUGGUUGCGAAGUAGAAAUGUAACUACAAAUAAGAUGCAUCAGGGAUAAGCUAUUGCAAAACAUUUGGUAAAGACGUUACCAUAUUCAUCUCUUACAAAACUAUAAUACAUAAUUUAGUACAUAGACGUAAACAAUUAUAACCCACUUCAAUAGUUGUCGACAUUUGAAUAUUCUUCCCACCGUUUUCAUCAGAAUCGUUCGAACUUAUGACAAUUAUCUUGGGAGAUGGAACGUUCGCCAACGACUUAUCAUUGUUGGAUUCAUCUUCAAACGAAACCAUGAACUCGAACACAUCAUCAAGUACACUGGGCAGUGCCUACGAGGCUUCACUUGAAAUUUCAUUCAGGUUGGGAAAAUGAACAAUAGAAAUGGCUAUCUUACCAUUUGGAUGGUUGACUUCCUCAUCAUUCGAAGAAAUUAUGAAAAAAAUAGGGACAAACUGGGUAUUGGCAAAGGCUCAUUCAAGUUCAACGAUUUGUUGAUUCCGGGGGACGAACCCAUUAUCUCGAUAUAGUUGUAUUAAGUGAACUGUUUGAAAUGUUUGAUGUAUAAAGUGUCACAAAGUGAGAGAAGUGUUUAAAUGUAACUGAGAAGAAAGUCAUGCCAUGCUAUUUACAAUCAAAUUCUUUGAAGGAAUUAAUUAUGGUCAUUUACAAUACAACCACUAAAUCACAGAUUUAAGUGUUGCUUGAGUGAAAAUUGCUGUGAUGAUUUAAGGUCUAGGUGUACCUUUAUCCUCCAAACUUUGUACAUAAUUUAUGGAAAAUGUGAAUAUUAAAUCAUGUGUACCAUUUUAUCUUGAAGUUUCCUGCAUGUAGUUGUUGGUAAUCAAUUUUUAUAGAAAAUAUGAAUAUCAAAUCACGUGUAUUAUUUUAUCUUAAAGUUUUCUAUAUGUAAUUAUUGAUAAUCAAUUUUCAUGAGUAUUCGUAUCUUAAUUGUAGCAUUGUCCUGAAAUAUUUUUGGUAUUUAAACUUCUCAUAAUCAGAAUGAGUACUUUGUAUCUUAAUUGUAGCAUGGUCCUAAAGUAUUUUUGAUAUUUAAACUUCUCAUAAUCAAACUUCAAUCAAGAAGUUCAACAAUUUUUUCUUGUACUAAUCGAAUAAUCAAACAAAUAUGAGAAACGAAAAAAAUGAUCAAAUGUGUAACCAUAUGUGGAUGCAACCAUCAGAUCGUGUUUACAACCACAUUUUUUAAGGGAAUCAAAAUGAGGUCAUUUAGUACAUUAUCACAAAUCGAUUCCAAUGUAGUAUUAACAAAUUUCAUCACACUAUUUCUUAACUCUAUUUCUCCUCUCCUUGGUGUAUGGAAUCCUAAAAGAUGCUGCAGAAAUCGAAUGUGUGUCGAUCACCUCCUUUUUGUGUUAACAACAUCGUUGCUUUCUACAGGUAUGGUGGCUGCCUUCAUCACGCCACAAGCUAAGGAAACUUCCUCGUUGUUCGAGCAUGACACUUCAGGCUCUACGACUCCUCUAUCUAUUUGAAAACAACAUAUGUUACACUAAUCAACAUGAGUUCAAUAUUUCUAGUUUGCAAACUACGAAAUGAGAUGAGAGUAUUUAAAAUUUUGAAUUUCUCAUAAUUAACGCAUAUACCAUUCACCUCUUGGUUCUCACUAAGCAAUGGACCUUCAUGGUCAUCCAUGCCUCCUCCAUUUAGUUGAAAACAACAAUUACAAAACUAAUGGACAUGAAUUCAAUAUUUCUAAUUUGCAUACUAUGAAAUGAGUUGAGUAUAUUUAAAGUUUUGAAUACAUCAUAUAUUAAUGUGAAACAAACGUGUAAGAAAGCAAAAGCCGAACGUAUAAAGUUCGAGAAAUACUGCCUUUAAUUAUUGAGAAUUCCAAUUCAUCUGUCGAGAAUGACAGUUCAUAUCGACAGAUGACUCAUCUAUCGAUAUUUAGUCAUCUGUCGAGAAUAAUUGAAACGAACUGUCGAAAAUGACAGUUUAUCGCGACAGAUGGAUCACAUAACUAUAUGUCGAGAAGUUCUCGUGUUUCGAGAAUUCAGAACUGUACAGACUUUCAUUGCUACAAAUUAAAUAGUUAACUUAAAAGAUUCGGUACCCAUGUCUAACCUAGAAAAAUGUAAUUAACAAGGUAGGUUGGAAUGAUAAGUAUAAUACAACAGUCAGCUACCACAAAGCAAACAAAUUCAGCAAAAUAUGAAGUCAAAAAUUGACAGAACUUGAAAUAUUUUUUUUUUAGGAAAAAAAAUCAUAUAUAACACACCAACAAACCUAGAAAAAAUCAAAAUCCUUCACCCCCCCCAAAUGGAGAAAUCCAAACUACCUAUAAAUGUACACCUCAGGCAAAGUCGAAUCCAAAAUAAAGAGCAAACUAACUCACGGUCUAGAUGUAAGGAACACAAAAUUGAUGUCACAAUUUAAGAGAUAGAUAAAAAAAAAUAGAAACAUUAGUUAAAAAACUGAAAUAAAACCUUCAAUUGAUCUAAAAAAGAAAUGCACAUAUUCGAAACCUUACCUAAGAUACUCUCCUUCCUUCUGUAUUGAUGUAAUAAGUGGGAUCCCAACACAAGAACUUGCUCUCCAUACAGUUUUCACAAAAUCUAAAGAGGAAACAUAGAAAAGAAGAAAGGAAAAAUGACUUUUUUUGCAAUUAUUGUGUGGGGAAGUAGAGUUGUGAUUGAAUUGAAAAAUAGAAUUACAUGGGCAAGGAAACGUUCUGAAAAGAGAAAAAGAAAUGAGUUAAUAGUUAAUAAUUUUUGCUCUUUUAUAUAUUGUAAUGAUUUUGAAAUACAAUUGUGAGGUGAUUGAUUAUCACAUUUUUUCCACUUUUUGUACAACUUUUUUAUGUUGUCAACUCAAGAAUGUGUAGGGUAUUUAAAUUUAGUGGGGGCCAAAAAUUUUCAAAAAUGACAAUCUUUCAAAGAUUUUUAAAAAGUGAUAUUUUUGAAAAUGCAAAACCAAAAAUUGACAUGGAAUACAAUUUUCUCAAUAUUUAUAGUCAAAAUGUGUAGUUGAAAAUAAAUUUAAUAAAAAAAUAAAUUUUGAAAUAAUGGGAAUCAAAUAGGGGCUAAGCCUAUGUCUAGUCCCACUUUUUUUUAUUUACUUUUUUGAGAAAAGAAAUUCUCCAUCAAUUAUGUGGGUUGGUUUAGUGUUUUUUUUUUAUCACAAAGAAUGGAAAUUUUUCCAUCAAUUUGUGGCUUUUUUAAUUCUAAAAUCGAAUUUUUCCUUGAUUGAAUUUCAAUUGGGGAAAGACUUUGACACAAUUACGCUUCAUAGGUUUUGUAAAUUUAUUGAGAGGGACAUUUAAGUCUUUAGAGACGCUUGUUGAGAGGUAUAUGUGGUGCUUGUGAGUAUUUUAUAGAUAUCCUAGUAGGAUUAAGUCAACUUAAAAGAAAAACAUGCCCACCUACUUGAUAGAUGCAGUGUUGAAAGCCGAUAAUUUAUAUAAAAAUUGACUAUUUUUUAAACAGUCCAAUGAACGAAUGCCAUGUGGCAUUACGUCAAGGAAGCGGGCAAAUUUUUCUGACAAUGAAGCAUGAUUGAUUCUAAUAAGUCUACACAAACAGUAGCUUUGAGAGGCCCUAGUUUUUAUUUGUUUAAUAAAUUCAAAAUCAAAUUUAUCAUAUUUUUUGCUAAAAAAAUCUGCUAAUAGGUAGAAGCUAGCUAUAGCCCGUCUUAGAACAAUUCCAGAGAAGAACAUGACUGUCUUCACAUUGUUCAUACCUAACAAGAAAGUUUAAUUAGGCAAACUGGGAAAAAAUAUUAGUUUUAUACAAUUUUGUGCAUAGGGCUACCACUUAUAGGGUGUUAUGUUGUGUUUACAUGAAGACAUGCCAGAAUUUUCAAGCUGAGAUAAUUUGUGAAAUAUUCCAUAAUCUCUAUAUUAGCGUGCAUUGUAAUAGAAACAUGCGUGAAAUUUACGUAUUAUCUUGAAGCCUUAUUGAGCCCGGCAUCAUUGUAAAACUCCUCUUUCGUAUAAAAAAAUUCUGCAUAUAUAGAACACUAUUUCACAAAAAUUGGCCAGAAAUCUCACAUUGUGCGGUCCCAUGUGAUGAUUAAAAAUUCAGAAAAAUCACCCACCCUCCUGCUAUUGUGUCUUAUGUGUGCAAUUCUGAACAAGCAGAAUUACUGUUUUUGUAUACUCUAUUUUCUUGGUUUGUUACUUCACUGGCGAAACGUUAAGAUUCUAAAAAAAAUCUCAAAUUAUGAUCAAAUAUUAGUCUAUGUCUACUCCAAUAUUUAUUUUUUGGUGGCCAAAAGCGAUUUCCUCUAUCAAUUAUGUGGGGUCAAUUUAAAUUUUGUACUAUAUAUACUGUGGUAGCCUCCUUAUGACAAUAAGGAAUGGAAACUUCUCAUCAAUUUGUGGCUUUUUUUUAUUGUAAAUUCGAAUUUUUCCUUGACUGAUUUUCAAUUGGAGGAAGAUUUGACACAAUUACUCUUCAUAGGUCGUGAAUUUACUAAUAGGGACAUUUAGAUCCGAAGACACCCUUGUCGAGGGGUAUAUGUUGUGCUUGUAAAAAUUGUAUAGAUAUCCUUGUGAGUCUACACAAAUGGUAGCUUCUAUAUUCCCUAGUUUCUAAUUUAAAAAAUACAAAAUCUAUUUUGCUAAAAAUAUGUUAAAGAGGUAGAAGCUAGCUAUAAUUUAUCAUCACUUUAAUUUAAAUAGGGAAAUUAUUGUUUUUAUACCAUUUUGCCUGUGGGGUUGUCACUUGAUGCGAACCCACGUAAUAAUAAAGCUACAAAGCCCACACGAGAUUGAUUUCAAACUCAGGAAAGCCAAGAACCAAAGUAUUGAGUUCAAUUCACAAAUAUUGAACCAAGCAACCAACAAUCGCAGACAAUGUGUUGACCACUUGAUCAAAAGACUUGAAAAUCUCUCCUGAAAAGUUUGAGCACCACAAAAAUUAAAAAUCUUGAUAAGAUUAUAGUUUGUUCAACAAAGAACAAAUGAUUGAAAGCAAAUUUGCCUCUCAAAUUGAAUAUAAUAUCAAAGUUCUAAUUUACAAUGAAAUAAUAUGUCCUAUUUAUAAGAAACUCAUAAAACUCUAGUUGAAUCGAAAAGGAAUCCUAAAAGAUAACAAAGAUACCAAAAAAGUAGAAUUCUAACCAAAAUAAAAGAUCUUCACAAUUGAACUAUGCGGUCGCAUAGCUUAAUCCACAUGCUAGACUUUAUGCUUGCUUCUAUGCGAUCGCAUGGACCUUUAUACUAAGCAGUCACAUAGUGCAAUCCAAAUCUUCCUAUGUUUGCAGCCUAAAUUGAGUUGAUCCAUCACGCUUCGACUCCCCAGCCCAUCAUGAAACUUUUUCUUUGGCAUGUUAACAUCAACCUUUUGGACUCCAUGGCUUGAACACUUGAUUGGUGGCUUGGAUCACAACAUCCCCUCCAUCUUCGAUAGGAUUCGACCUCUAAUAUGUACUUUGAAGAUUCAAAUUGUAGCCAUCAUCUUCAAUCAUUGUAUUGACAUGGAAUGGUUCAUCUCCUCUAGGAUGAAACCUUGACCUUCUUUGCAAUCGAACACUCCCUUUGGCCUCCACAUCCAAACCCAAUCGCCUAGUUUGAAUACUUUACGCCUUUUUCCUUUGCUACCUUGAGACACAUAUAAUUCAACUCCCUUGUCAUAAUUGAAUACUUCUCUUUCAAUUCUCAUCAAAUCCUCCGCUUGCAUCGAAUCAAUUGGAUAUUCAGUGGGUGGUAUCCCAUCAAUUAAGUCUUCCUGGAACAAGUCUUUGAACUCUAUAAUAAAGAAAUAUGCAAAUAGGGGAAGGAUUUGUUAGUCCUUACCAAAGCACUCUCAAUCUCAUUCUUUUUUGCAUAGAAACUCACUUUGAAUUUUUCUUUCCUCUCAGAAGAGAUUCUCUUUCUUUUCUUUCUGUGGCUCUACUAUUUUUUUUCUCACACUUAAUCACCUUAUUAUCCUCUCUCCUACUCUCAUUUUCUUUCCUUUCUUGUGGCUCUACUUUUUUUUAGCCACACUUUAUUUUUUCUCUUUUUCCUCACUUGUUCCUUCAUAUGAUCAAUUUGAGAAUCAAUCACGUCAUGAAGCUUUGAUAUUUCUAGUUUGAAAACUAAACCAAUCAAGGUGUACUACUAACAUGCUUCACAAUAGGUGUUUCACCUUCCAAUUGGUACUCAGCUCCAUCACAUUCACUAGGAUUUUCUCUAAAUUCCCUUUCAUGCCUAUCUCUCCUAUCCCUGUAAUAGUAACUAGGUGUAUAUUGCUUCCUUAUGAUAGCCUUCGACUCAUCCCAAGUUUUAAUGGGCAUCUCACAUUCCUCCUCUUAGUUGUCACUACUUGAUCCCACCAAGUAAUAGUAUAGUCGGUGAACUCAAGUACCGCAAUCUUUACCUUCUUUUCCUCUGAGUAGUUAUGGCAAUCAAAUAUUAGUUCCAUCUUCUUCUCCCACUCCAAGUAUGCGUCAGAAUCAUUCCUUCAUUUGAAUAAAGGAAUGGUCAUUUUAAUGUUGCCCAUAUUUCCGUCCACUCCAUCUCCAACGAGAUCUCCGUCCAUUCUUUCAUGCCUAAGGCCUCUAUCCCUCAUUCUCCCUACCUCAGCAUCCACUAAUAUCCCCUCAUCAAUAUCAUUACCCGCUUCACAAUCACUACGAUUCUCCGUCCUAGGCUCUCUCAUACCUUGCUUCCUUGCAUUAGGAACUCCCCUACGUAAAAUGGCAUGUAAUGGGUCUUAACUUCCAUCCAGGCUUCUUGUCGAUCCAACUUGUCCCUAACAUCUUCAAAUAACCUUUAAAACAUUCGUAUCAACUCCUUCGAAAUGUUGACUUGACUAUUGUUCCUACUUGAUGUAGAGUUGUCUCUGUCAGACAUCUUAAAUCUAAAAUAUUAUCUGAUUCACAUAUGUACUCUCAUAUAUCACUCGAAUUGACUUUUACCUUCUAUUAGUCUCACCGCUAUGUUUUUUUCCACUCAAUGCUUUCACCCCAAUACUUCAAAGAACGAAUUCGGACUCAACCAAGUCUUAUUCUCAAGAAUUCAAACAAAAAUGUGAGCGAGUUUUAUAAUUUUAGAAGACUCAAGAAAGAAAUAAAAGAAUUGGACACUUUUGAAUAGGAACUUUUAAUUUAAGAAAGUGGUUCUUGAAUUUUAGGUUGGAUAAGACUGAAACAUAUAUGUAUAUGGAUGUAUAGAGAUUUUUUUUACUCAAAAAAAUAUGAACUUAAACUACUGGUAAUUUUCGGAAAGAUUGGGAACGGGACCUGCAGGGUGAUAGUUUUUAUCGAGGAGCAGACUUAUGCACCUUGGACUUCUUGUUUUUAUUUUUUUUUCACUCGAAAAUUCAAUUACAAAACGAGCGAAACAAAAGAAAAUUGAUUUGGGUGCUAAAUUCGCUCAAAAACAACUUUUGAAUUUUUUUUGGUAUUUUUAUGAAUUAAAGACUCAAAAGACGAAGAACACAAAAAACACAAAAAAAAAAUGAAAACAAAGACUCAAAACAAAAAGAAAAUAAUAUAAUCUUAAUUUUUGGAGCCUAAGCUCUAAUACCAAUUGAUGCGAAUCCACAUAGCAAUUGAAGUUACGAAACUCAUAUGAGAUUGAUUUCAAACCCAAGAAAGCCAAGAACCAAAGUUUUAAGUUCAACCUACAAAUAUUGAACCAAGCAACCAACAAUCACAAACAAUGUGUUGAUCUAUUGAUCACAAGACUCGAAAAUCUCACUUGUAAAGUUUGAACGUCACAAGAAUUAAAAAUCUUGAUAAGUUCGUAAUUUGUUCAACUAAAAACAAAGGAUUGAAAGCAAAUUUGCCUCCCAGAUUAAAUAUAAUAUCAAAGUUUUAAUUUACAAUGAAAUAAUAGGUCCUAUUUAUAGAAAACCCAUAAAAUCCCAGUUAAAACAAAAAGGAAUCUUAAAAGAUUACAAAGAUAUAUAUAAUUCCUCGCAAAAUUUGAAAAAUUCGUGACCACAAUUGAGCUAUGCGAUCGCAUAGCUUCUUGGGAUGCGACCUCAUAAAAGAUUGAAAUCCACAUGCUGGAUUUCCUGCCUACCUCUAUGCGACCUCAUGGACCUUUACAUUAUGCGACCGCAGAGUGUAAUUCAGAUCCUCCUCCGUCUGUAGCUUGAAUCAAGUUGAUCCAUCGUGCUUCGGCUCCCAAGACCAUCAUGAAACUUGUUUUUUGGAAUGUUGACGUCAACCUUUUGGACUCCGUGGCUUGAACACUUGAUUGUGUGGCUUGGAUCACAUCACCACUCAUGGGUAGUCAUGUUCUAGGAAUGUGUUAUUAUACAUGAAAACACACUAGAGGACCAAACAGGGCUAAACCAUUCAUCUUGGCUAUAUAUUUAGUGGUUUACAAGAUGAAGGAAAACAAAGACAAAACAGUCAUCUGUUCAUAUACAUUUUCGUGACUAUCAUGGCCCAAGAUGGAUGCUUUGUGUGUCUUUUCCUAUGCAUUUGCUUGACUUUGUCUUGCGUUUUGAUUCCCGUUGGUGUAUCUCUUCAAAGCAUCAAGCCAAGAAUUUAUAUAAAUGACUUUUAUGCUCGUGCCCUCAACAUACACAUUCCUUCCAAUGCUACCAGUAGUAACACUUUCGUUUUCUUCGAUCUCCAGCUUGUUAACAUGAUGGUAGCCAACAGUGUGUAUUAUGGAGAUCUAAACCUCAUCCUCUUCUACGACUCGAAUGGAAAUAUUCCCUUGUUAAUUAUACAGUUCCUCGAUUCGAACAGGGUGAGAAGAAUACAGAUGAUUGGAAAGACGUUUUGGAGACUCAUGGACUGCCUUGGGUAGUGGCAGCCCUGAGUAUAGGUGAAGUAAGCGAUUAUCUAAGGCCCCAUUUUUGUGAGGACCCCAAAUUAUGUAAAAUUAAUUGGUUGGUUGAAGAAAAAUGAAAAUUAUAUUUAUGAAAUUUUGAAAAUAGAAUUAUCGAAUGCAAACAUAAAAAACUAAUAAAAAUUGAAAUUACAAAAAUGUUUAAAAUAUAUAUAUGACAACAAACUUAUCACUUAUAUUUAUUUAUCACAAACAUUACUUUCCCUAUUUAUAAUUAAGUCGACAUUUUAUCUUCAAAAUAUUCAUUUUCUUUUUCUUUUUCUUAACCAAAGAAAUGGUCUCUUCGUCUUUUCAAAUUCCAUUUCCGACAAUCACCCACCGUUAUUUUUUCAACCCAACAAAAUAUAAAUUAUCUCCCUUUGAAUUAAGAUUUUGAAGAUUCCAUGCAAUUUGAUUUGAUCUCGCUGGCAUUGUUACAACCUUAUAUAUUUCUUUCUUUCUCUCUUAUCUUCAAAAUAUAUAUUACAGAUUACAUAGGUUGCUAUUAUAUUGUUUUGUUUUAAUCUCAUGAUAAUGAUAUUUUUAAAUAUUUGCUAAAAGUACUUUGAAUUUAAUAACUCUCAGUCCUUGUUUGUACGGUUACUUCUUAUUUUAAGUUAAUUUCUUAUAAAUUAAUAUAAAAUAAAAUUAUAAGCUCGUUUGUAUUUGAUCACCAUUUUCAUUAUUUUGUUUUACUAUCUUUUGCAAUCACAUUCUCCAAUUGUAUACAUAAAUCACUCAAAUGUAAAUUGAAUUUUAUUUGAAAUAGUUGCAAUGAGAAAAUAAUCGUACAAACAAGCACACCCGUUGCCACUGCAUUGUAAUUCUGUUUGCCAAACUUUACUCGUAAUUUGUAUUGCUGGUUGAAAUUUAACAUUUUGUUAAUUUUAUCUUCAAAAUUUGGGGCAUAGUUGUCUUUAUAUUAAUAUUAAGCCCCUGCUUGGCAUUAACUAAAAUCUAGAUUUUAAUUUAAGUCAAAAUCAAUAAUUAAUUUUAACCACAUUUUAUAGGUUCCAAAACUUUAUAUCCACAUAUUUUAUCUACUUCUAUCAAAAUCAAACAAAAUGUUGAUUUUAGGGGUUGUUUGAGCCCUAUUUUUCUCAAAAAAAAUCAUUUCGAAACAGUGUUACGAUGCAGAAUGUGUGGUUAAAAAAUAAGAAAAUUUUUUUGGUUUGAGUGUAAUAUUAUUUUAUUGAAAAAUGUGUGGUUAAAAUGGUUUCAAAUCACUGUUGAAAAUGUAUUUUGAUAAAAAAAAAGGGGGGGGGGGGCUCAAACAAGGCUUAAUAUCCAUCAAACCAACUACAACUUUAUAUAAUGAAAUUCAAAAUAUAGGACUCCAAUUUAAAAUUAACAUAAGACCCCCAAAAUAUCAGGGCUGGUUCUGACCUUGGGAUGAUGCUAUUAAAGCAGUUUCUAAUGGUUCCAUAGCGGAUUUCAAGGAGGAUUUGCUCACAUAUGUCAAGUGGGAAUAAUUGUUUUGGUCAAAGAAAAAGAAGAUGGUUUUGAAAGCUACUGUUGAAGUUGAUGGUUCCUGUGAGAAAGUCCAUGGGAAACCCAUCAGACUCAAGUCAUUUGCAUCUUAGCUGAUAUGAAUUUAAGGCAUUAUAAACAUGUGAUGAUAUUCAAGAAAUUAUUUAAUGCAUGAAUAGAUACUUCACAUUUGUUAUUGGUCACAGUUUAUCUAUUCUAUCGACAAUACAUUAUUUAUUAGUCACAAUCAACCAAAAUUCCACCACACACCAUAUCUAGGCAUUUAUCUAUUCUAUCGAUUGCUUAUUAUUUAUUAGUCACAAUCAUCCAAACUCAUUUUCUUUUAGUCGGAUCGAAUCGCUUUUUGGAAUUAAUGACUUUAUUAUCAUGUUAAAACUUGAUGUUCUAUUUUAAAAGGCCAACCAUAUUAAGAGGAGAAAUCUAACCCUUUAUAAAUUGAUCUAUAUUUACAUUUUUAUUCGAUGUAAAUUUUAUCCCUUAACCUAUGUGUACUUAGAAGGAAAACUAAAGCAAAAACAAUAAAAGCAUAUCACAUUAGGAUGUAUCAAGCCAAGUCAGGACAAAUAACACAAUCUGAUUGACAUCUACACUUCACAUGAUACAUUAUUUAGUGAAAAUAAAUUACUAAGAACCAAGAGAUGGAUUACUUAUUGUGGUAAUUCAACAUAGGAUCAAUUGAUGAGAUUGAAUAACCAUAUAGAAAUAAUUAAAAAGUAACUUGUUACUUAAUUGCUACUUUUAAUUUUACUGUGCACGUUCUAGAACCUAAACAUUAUCUAAAUCGAUUAAUAAUCUUGAUUAGGUUAACUUUCACAUAACAUCAUUUGUCCUGUGGUGUAAAAAAUUUGCACGAGGUAACAUAUGUAUGUCUAUCUUUUCCCCCAUAAAAUAAGAUGCUAUAUGUGAACUUUACGUACAGUUUAAUACAUGCAUAUUGAUACUUACAGCAAAAAUACUUAGACGACGCAUCACCAUUCACCCAUGUAAUAUUUUGAUAGUUAAUAUAAACAUUUCGCAAUCACUUCUUUCGUUGUUGAAAAAAAAAAAGGUAAUUAAAUUUUAGUUGCUUCAAUGAUAUUUUAUCGACAAAAAUAAUUAAUACAAUGACAAAUCAAACAAUUGUAGAAGUAAAAUUAAUCGAUUGUCUAUAUUAAUUUUUAACAACUAUUUCUUUCAUUGUUGAAAUGAGAGGCAACUAAAAUUUGGUUAUUUUUAUUGUAUUUUCAACAUCAAAAAUAGUUAUUACAACAACCAAACAAUUGAUUGUUGAAAAAAGAAUUGGUUGUCAAUGUAAACCUUUUACUUCUAGUUAUUUAGUUGCUAAAAUGAUACAUUUAACGACCAAAUGUAUUUUUAGUCAUUGAAUACAUUUUUCAAACCUCUUUGCCAACCAAUGAAUAUCCAACUGAUUUUGGUAGUUGAAUGUGAUCAACUUGUAUCAAAAUUAAGGCUGUCUAAAUUUAUUACAACAUAGGAUGUGCUCCUUCAGUCGUUCGGCUUCUUCAAACUAUUUACAAAUUAAUUAUAUUUAUUAACAACAAAUAUUUACAGUAAUAUUUGUAAUUAUAUCAACCAAAUUUAAUGUUGUCUAUUACAACCCCCAAACAUUUUAGAACCUUGCUACAUGUACACAUUAGUUUAUACUUUGUCACGUGUCAUUAUCCUAUUAGACAAUUUAAAUUUAAAACAGUUUUUUCAUCCAAUUGACACUUGACAACAAUGCAAGUAUCAACCAAAGUGUCAAAAAUCAGUGUACAAAUAGAUAUGGCAGCUAAAAUUACUAUCCAUAUUGGGAAUAAUUCUAGUAUAAUAAUGCUGUCUAGAUCUCCAUGCUUACAACAUGAUAAUGUUUAUUAGAUAAAUUUGGUACUUCAUAUUCAUUAGAAUUAAUUAAAAAUAAUGAUACUCCUUUGAUUUUUUCUUGUCCUUAUCCUAUAUCACGAUUGUUAAUAAUCACCUUAAUGUAUGGCAAUAUGUCCAUCUAAAUUGCAUUCUCGAAAAUCAAGGAUAUUUAAUUGUUUAAGCAAACUCACAUAUAUUUGUUACAAAAGUUGAAACCGUGUUCGAUUGUGCAUGUGGAAUGACAUAUGUUUUGAUUAUUCAUAGUGCGUCAUAAAAAAGAUGUAUGAAAACAUACUGUACAAUUUAUUUAUUUAUUUAUUUUCCUUAACAACUGGACUUAGCAACCCAAUGCAUGUGAUGAGGUCUAUAUCAGCAAGUAAUUUUGCAACUUCCAAUCUCGAGGAAAUAUAUAUAUAUAUAUAUAUAUAUAUAUAUAUAUUCUUUUUGACAGAACAUUAAUUUAAUUAUGAUCAAUUUUAUUCUAUAUUGAAUUUUUUUGGUACUUAUUCUGAACUUCAAGCAAACGUUAGCUUUACAACUUUUAGUCGACAUUAUUUAAUGCCAGUUUUAAUGAAAGUUAAUAAAGGAGUGCACAUGUUAUCUUUUGGAAGACAAAAUUGUGUUUUCAUAUUAUAAGAUUCGAGAAUACAUUGGUAUAAGAGUUUUGUACGAGUUAAUCUUGUCGUUUUUAAAAAGUCAAUUAACGAUUUAAUUUCAUUAGUUGACUUCACAGAAAUGGACGAUCACCCACCCAAGUGACCACCCUUUAACAUAUUUAUGUCCAUCUUUUGCCCACAAAAUAAGAUACUAUAUGCGGACCAAAAUAGAUAUAGUUCAAUACGUGCAUAUAUACUGGUACUUGUAAUAAAAAAAUUCAAACAACAUAUCACCAUUCACUCAUGUACAAGUCACAUUAUCAUGAAAAUGAUUUAAUUUCUUCCGGUGGUAUGAAUUUUGUUGUUGUUUGGAAAUUGAGUAUGUUGUAGUCUUUCAUUUUAUUACCUAUUAUUUAGUGAAUUUCUUCAUAUCAUUGCCAAUGGACGUAAAAGAGGACUGAAUGAUAUUAGAAUAAGGUUUCUUGUACAUUAUUUGCUUGACAUGGAGUUUGACACUCCAUUGUUUUCAAAUGUUUUCAAAAAUAGAAUUGACGGGAAAGUGUGUUUUUUUUUUUUUCAAAAACUGUCCAAUAUGAUGUCGCCACGUAGCACAAUGUAAAAUUUAAUGUCAAACUCAAUGUACUUGUAGCAUGAUUCAUGAUAUCAACUUUGUGUGUGUUCUCUCUUUAAUUAAUGUUUUUGCGUAAAAUCCAAACCUUAAGGCUUUCGCACAUUACAAAACAAGUGAAAAAUAUUUCGAGUUUCGUAAUAAAAUCCUAUCCAUCUAUUGAAGAAUAGUAGAUGCAGGCCCUGCAGUUUUGCUGGAAAAAUCCAACCAUUGUGUUAAUUAAAGAUAAACAGAUUCUUCAAAAAUAUAAUUUCACAAAAAGAAAAAUGAAAGGCUGUAAACGAAGGAUGUAAUAGGAAAAUGUAACACCUUGAACUUUUUUACUAUUUUUCAUAUGGACCUAAACUUAAUAUGGGUCACUUAGCAAAUGAAAUAAUUCAUGUUUAGAUUUGUCGUCACACUAAAAGCCCAAAAAUUGAUAAUUUAUUUUGCUCACGUGUACUUAGAAUUUAUCGUAAAUCUUAUUUAGGUUGAAUAUUUACAUAUUUUAGAAGUUGAUAAAAUAUAUCAAUAUUAUACUCGUUUUAUCGCUCGUGUUAAAUAAUAUAAUUGGAAAUCAAGAAAAAGUAAUUUUGAGCUAGUAGCCCGAGUUAUUCUAAUAAAAAAAAUGUUAUCUUUUAAUAUUUUAUUAAUAUAUAAUAUAAAAUGAGUUUUUCUAGAACGGUCAUGGUUAUAUUGGAUGGAAACAAAUAGGUUUAUUAUAAUUAAAUUUAUUAAACCUAAUUAUUCUCAUUAAUCUUGAUAAUGAAUAAAUUUUAUUAACACCAUUAAUUCACCCUUAACCUAACAUGCGUUUUGUUGAUUUAUGUUACGUGCAUAACUAAUUAUAAGUGACUGUUAUGGGUUUAUAUAUUUAGGUGAAUUACUUUUAAGAUAAUUUCACAACUUCAUUCCUUUACUGAUUCAUACACGUAAACUCUACAUUGUUGAAAUGAUUUUCUUCUACCACAGUUUAUAUUGUACAUACUUCCCACCACUAAUAUUUUUAGAAUUUGAGCUAAGUAUCAUAUUUAUAUUUUUCACAAAUUAUUUUCAAAUAAAUUCUUGGAUAUCAAAUUGAGGUAAGAAUACAUCAUGCAAGUGGUAAAUUCUUAUUCCUUGAUGUUUGUAUAAUUUUUGACAUAAAAUGUUAUGAGGCCUUCAGGUCGAACUUUAUGUUAAAUCCUUCAGGAUGGACCGUUAGGUCAAAGAUAUUAAAUCCUACGGAAUAAACCGUUUGGUCAAAUAUAUUAAAUCCUACGAGAUGUGGGUAUUCUUAAGAAAUUCCUUGAGUUCUAAAUAUAAGAAAUAUUGGUAUGUUAAGUUAGUUUUAUAUUUAUAUCAUGUGAAUAAGAAUGUGUACGUAUUUUUACUAAGUAUUUUCAAAAUAUUCACUCUUACAAUACCUUUCGAUGAAAACGGGUAGUUUGGACGCGUGGAAAAUUUACCGAGUGAUACUUAUGGGGUCGCCAAGUAAAUUUUCUAGAAAAUAUAAUUGUCAAACUUUUAUUUGAAAAAUAUCUUCAUAUUGAAUUUUGUGCACAUUUUUUAAUAGCUAUUUUUAUGCAUUUCAACACUUAACAAAAAUGAUAUUUUCGCAUAAAUUAGACAAAGAAGAUGUUGGUAACACCUCGAGCCUAUUUUUAUAAAAGAAUAAAAUAAUGAAGAUGAAAAAGAUCUCGAGGCAUUAUAGAAAAAGUAUAAAGCAAAGAGAAAACCAAAGUUUUUUUUUUUAAUAAUAAAAAUCGACAAUAGAAAGCGAAGUGACAUUAAAUCACAAAUAUAAUUAAAUGAGUCUCAUUUUUCACCUUUAAUUUAUCAUAUAAUAUUAGCACCUGUGGUGCUAUAGCAUUAUUCAUUUCAGUUUCCUAUCCAAAUAAUUUUAAUGAUCUCGACUAAUUUCUUUAACUCGUGUUUGUCAAAUUGUGAACGGUUUCUUACUUUCCUACACCUUUGAGCUUUAAAUUGUCAUGUUGCUUAUGGGGUAUGCCAUAGCUCGAAUUGAAUCUCCUUUUCUAAUAUCGACAUAUUGGGGAAUUUAUAGAUGUCAGCGAACAAUUCAAUUAACCAACACAAAAUUUUACCACUAAAGACAUCACCAAACCAUAGGAAAUUAGUCGCUAAAAUAUGCAAUUUGAACAGUUCAAUCAAAUAUAUAGAACAAACUAAGUUUUAUUAUCACUAAAUAUAGAGGAUCAGAAGCAUUGUUUUAACAACAAACAAGUGAGAAAGAGAUUGAAGAAAAAUAGAAAGCCCCAUCGUGUUUAAAUAGCUGCUUUUCCUGGAUGAGCCUCAGACUGAGCCUGAGCCUGAGCGGGAGCCCGAAUGCCUGAGGUGAGUUUAAUAGCCUUCUUUUGGACCUUUUUACCGGAGUUGUUGAUUUCCACAGUAGCUGAGACUGCCAGAUUUCUCUUCUUGGACAUGAAAAACCACUCUUUAAACUUAACCUUUGUAGCCAAAUCCAACCUGAAAACUACUGUGGAUCCAUUAGAAACCGCGUUCACUGCGUCAAACCAAGGAACACCGUGAGUCUCGACCACAUCUCUCCGCUGAGCACCUUUUUUUUUACCCUGAUAAAACCCUCGAACUGUAUAGUAGCCUAUUGGAAGGCUUGGCUUUGGACCAUAAAAGAAUGUGAGAUUUAUAGUGUCAUAGCGGACACUAAUUUGAUCCAAACGAUUUUUGAGUUCGAGGUCGAAGAAGAUAAAGUUGUUGAUGGUACUGGCAUUGGAAUUAUCCAAUCUGUUGAGAGCAGGAACAUAAAAGUUCUUUAUUGAGCAACUGGGCCUCACUGUAUUGGUGUUUACUACGAUCAAAAUGAUCAAAAGGGUAAUAAUGAAGACGACUAUCAGGCAGCACAAUUUGUAUAAGAUAAAGAUAGGGUGUGCCAUAGCCCUCAUUCUAUCUAGCUGAGACAUUAUGAAAUUGUGGCGUUUUGAAGAAAAAGGAGGACUGAAUCUAUGAAUAUAAAUCAACAAGACGAGACUGUAAAUUAUAUAUAGAGUUAAAUUCGUAGACUACAUAGUCAUUAACAAUGAAUUCUGCUUGGUACCUAAGAUAGAAGAAAAUCAACCUUAAAGAAAGACUUCCAAGUCAUCAACAACCACACGGAACGAUUAAUGUUUGAUUAGACAAACCGGGAAAAUUAUUAUUUUUAUACCAUUUUCAUGUGGGGAUACCACUAUUUUCUAAAGGUAUGUUAUUAUACACAACAUUUAAGAAUUUAGAACAGUUAUAAUAUUCCACUGUACAUAGUUGUGUUUAAAUUUCAUACACCACAUUAUUUUAGAUUUCACCAUCUUUGGGCAAGAUGAUGAAUACACAUUCUAUUUAGUCACUGUUUGGUUUUGAUAAAAUCAGAUUUUUAGUAAAUUUUGAUAAAAAUGAUAAAAUGUGUAAUUGAAAAAUUGAUAAAAGAUGUUGAUCCCAUGAAAUGUGGAAUGGAAAAUAAAUUUUGGAGGAAAUGAGGUCCAAAUAAGGGCUUGAAAAAAAUGAAUGACUUAUGCUUGAAUUGUUCAAAUUGAGAUACUUUACGAAAUAUAAAAUCGGAAAACCACACGUUUCCUAGUCUCUAUAGUAGUGUUCAUGGUUAGAGAAACUUGUGUGAAGUUAAUCACGUCUUAUCUUGAGACCCUAUUGAGGCGUUCAACAUUAUAAAACUCUUCCAUUAUACUCCAUUUUUUGAUUUGCUAUUAUAAUUAUUGUUAUCGUUUCAUUAACUAGAAAAUACUUUCCAAGCAAAAAAACCCUAGAUAGGGUCACUUCACCAGGGAAAACAUCAAGCUGAGAAUGUGAAUUAAAGUAUGAGUCAAGUAUUAGCUAGCUGUAACGCUUCUUUCAACUAAUCUAAAACAGAAGAAUCUUUUAAAGUAGUUUCACCACUUUAAUUUACAUGUAAGUCUUCACCUAAUUUACACGAAAGGCUUCGAUAUCAAGAUUCAACGAGCUUGACUCAUGAAAGUCUUUUUUUAUGUUUUAUGACUUGUUUUUCCAUUGAUGUACCUAAACAAGUAAACCAUUCAUCUUGUCUAUAUAUAUCGAGUGCUUUAUGGGAAGAAGGAAAAUUAAGAUAAAAAAAAUUCAUCUGGUCAUAUACAUUUAAGUGACUGCAAUGGACGAAAGCGGAAAAAUUGCGUGUCUAAUCUGUUGCAUUUGCUUCAUUUUGCCAACCAUUCUGAUCCCCAUCGGUUUAUGUCUUCAAAGCAUCAAGCCAAGAUGUUACAUAAAUGACUUUUAUGCUCCUGCCCUCAACACACACAUUCCUUCCAAUGCUACCAGUUCCAACACUUUCAUUUUCUUCGACCUUCAGCUUCGUAAUAUGAUGGAAGAGAACAGCUUACGUUAUGGAGAUCUGAACCUCACCCUCUUCUACGGCCUGGAUGGAAAUAUUCCUGUUGCUAAUUAUACAGUGCCUGGUUUCAAACAGGGUAAGAAGAAUACAAAUGAUUGGAGAGACGUUGUGGAGACUCAUGGACUGCCUUGGGAUGAUGCUAUCAAAGUAGUUUCCAAUGGUUCCAAAGUGGUUUUCAGGGCGGAUUUGGUCGCAGAUGUCAAGUUGAAACAAAUGUUUUGGUCGAAGAAAAAGAAGAUCGUUUUGAAAGCUACCGUCGAAGUCGAUGGUUCUGGUGAGAAAGUCCAUGGGAAACCCAUCAGACUCAAGUCAUUUGCAUAUUAGCUGUUAUGAAUUUAAGGCAUUUAGUAUGUGCCCAUUAAUAAAUGAGUUACAAACGUUUGAUGAUAUUUAAUGAUAUUCCAGAAAUUAUUUAAAUAUCUUUCUCAUGCAUGAAUAAAUGCUUUACAAUUGUUAUUGGUCACAAUUUAUCUAUUCUAUUGACAAAAUAUUAUUUAUUAGUUACAAUCAACCAAAAUCCCACCCCCACGUCAUCCCCACUUCACCACAGACACCAACCGAAUACUGCCACACCUUACCGCCUCCUCCAUUUGUGAACACCACUGCAAUCACCAAUAUCACCACCGUCAGCAUCACCACCUCACCAUCACCAUUACCAUUACCAUCACCACGAGCACCAUUAUCGUCAGCACCACCACCAUCAUUUGCAAAACACCACCAACAAUCAAGAGAAAUCACCCCAAAAGAAAACCACCUAUAGUAGAUCGGAUUCAAAAAUCACCAACAAAAUUCAACAACCACCAACAAAUCAUCCACACCACUGCACAUAUAUUGGAAUUAAUAGGGACACAGAUCGGUACUUUGCAAUGGACAAAAGAUUGAGACUCCCUCCUACACCCCAAAAUGGUUCCUCGAAGCGAGGUGCAAGCAGAGGUGCCUCUGUGCGUGGCACCUCGCUGGUGUCUCAAAGCAAGGUGUCGAUUUCUGAAAUAGAGAGGAUGAGGCGGGUGGAUAGAGAGAGACAGUGAUAAAGAAAGAUAAAGGAAGGAAGAGAAAGAGAAGAGAUUGUGAUAUGAUUUAGGGUUUUGAGGGUGAAAUUGGGUGGGAGUGGCGUGGUUACUUAAAUUUUUUAAAUUUCAGUCUACAUUUUUGAAAGUGUCCCAAUCGUGGGAACGUAGAUUAAUUUAAUAUUAUAACACUAUUAUUAAUAUUUAAAAUUUGAACUAUCACAUGAUUUAACAUACGUGGGGUAAAUUAAUCUACAUACCCACCCCAUCCCAUCUCAUCCCAUUCCAUUCCAUGUGCCCAUCAAAUUUCAUUCAUAAACCCUAAAUUAUAUAUAUAUAUAUAUAUAUAAAGGGGCUUCUACCAACGUCUUGCGUCCAGAUACCAACGAGUCAUCAUGUGCAAAGAUGCCUCUGUCUGCUCAUUGCUUCGAGUAACUAACGAGGUACCGUAUCUCUACCAGCUGGAGAGUAAUGGUGGAUUCAGGAUAUUGAGUUAGCUAGGAUGUCUAUUGACUCUUGACGGUCGCAAUAGUAAGAUUUUUUAUUAAUAUUUAAUUAAAUAAUAUUAAAAGAAUUUCAAUAAUGUAUAAAUACAAUAAAACGUAAAAGUCAUACACAUUUAAAAAUAUAAUCCAAUACAAACUAAAACAAUGAGAAAAAAAAAUACAUUUUCCAAUAACAUAUGCACGAUCAAGUUUCAAAUUUUGUUAUGUCCUUAAGCGAGAGAAGAUGAAGUUUAUACGUAAAGCAUGAUUUAACGAUUAAAGUAAUCUCUAAGCUAGGCGAAGGUUAUGGAAAAUUUUGAAAAUAAUGAUUUUUAAAAUUAGAAUAAUUUUUAAUCUCGAAAGAAAAAGUAUUUUUCAAACUCUUAAAAUAACAAAAACCAACAUCUAAAUUGUCCAAAUUUGAAUUUUAUAAAUUAAAUCUGUAAAACCUAACCAUAAAAGUAUAUAUAUUAUUGAGUAAUAAUUUGAGUCAAUAAAUUUUUUAAAGAAAUUAUUUCGAAAAUGAAAACUAAUAAUAUAUAAUUGCUUAGUCAUUAUUUAUUGUAUUAAAAAUUUAAACAAAAAAUGGGAGUAUAUUUAUUGUAUUAGAAAUUAUUUUAAAGGUUAUGCAAAAUUUUUAAAAUAAUGAUUUUUAGAAUUAGAAUAAUUUUUAAUCUCAAAAGAAAAAUUGUUUUUCUGAACUCUUAAAAUAAUUAAAAAAAACACACUUAGAGGCUGUUUGGGAGUGAUUUUGAGAAUUGAUUUUUUGAUCGUUAGAAGAAAAGUGGGGUCCACCCGUGAGAGAAGAAGUCAAAUAUGAUGGCCGAAAUAGUGAAAUAACGGUCAAAAAAUCAAUUUUUUGGAUAAAAAAUCAGGCCUAAACAGGCCCUUAAAUUGUCCAAUUUUGAAUUUUAUAAAAUAAAUUGGUAAAACCUAACAAUAAAAGUGUAUAUUUUAUGGAGUAAUAAUUCGAGUCAAUAAUUUUUUUAAAGAAAUUAUUUCGAAGAUGAAAACUAAUAAUAUAUAAUUGUUUAGUCAUUAUUUAUGGUAUUAAAAAUUUAAACAUAAAAAUGGGAGUAUAUUUAUUGUAUUAGAAAUUAUUUUGAAGGUUAUGCAAAAUUUUGAAAAUAAUGAUUUUUAUAAUUAGACUAAUUUUUAAUCUAAAAAAAAAAGUGUUUUUCCGAACUAUUAAAAUAAUAAAAAGCAACACUUAAAUUGUCCAAAUUUAAAUUUUAUAAAAUAAAUUGGUAAAACCUAACAAUAAAAGUAUAUAUAUUAUGGAGUAAUAAUUUGAGUCAAUAAAUCUUUUAAAGAAAUUAUUUCGAAAAUGAAAACUAAUAAUAUAUAAUUGUUUAAUCAUUAUUUAUUGUAUUAAAAGUUUAAACAAAAAAGUGGGAGUACAUGGAAUUAAACCCCAUGACUCUCACGUAUAAAGUGAUCCAUCAACCAUAGAAGUUACAUUCGCUUUUGUUGAAUGUUAAGACAACUGUUAGUUAAUAUUUAGUUAUUAUUUACUGUGUUGAAAAAUUAAAAGGAGGAAUGCUAUUGAAGGAAAUGGAACCUGUGUAUCAUUGCAUGGAAAAGCGAACGCUCUUCCAUACGAGCUACAUGUCAUUCCGUUCAAAGUUAAUGUAGUAACGUAUAUGUAUGUGUGUGUGUGUCUAUAUAUAUAUUACAAUAAUUUUCGUUAAUCAUUUUUCUGGACAGAUCCAGCCCGGGUGGUCGCACCAGCUCGCCAGGUGCUGAUCCACCCCCAUUGGGGAGUUGGAGAGAGUGUCAUUCUACAGUUGCACAAUGUCGAUCUACUAUCCCUUGUAAAGUGUUGAACUGAUGUACCUGCUAGUGUGAUCUGCGUGCAGCGAUGUGGGUGAUUUGUUGGAGUUUGUUGAUGGUUUGCUUAAUAGUUUUCUGAUUCAUUCUACUGCUUAGUCGAAGGAUGGUUGGUAUUUUUUGCAAUGGUGGUGAUGGUGUUCGCUAUAAUGAUGUUUACUGUGAUGAUGGUGGUGAGGUUAUGGUGUGGACGACGAUGGUGAAGGUGCUGAUGGUUAUUGCAAUGGUGGUCACAAAAUGGGGGUAACAGUAGUGGCAAUGGCAACAAGUGGUGAGGUGAGACAACAUUCAGUUGGCAUCUGUUAAAGAAUAGGUUAAUUUCACAAACGAUCACUGAACUUACAGAAAAAUUAUAAAACGGUCACUGAAGUUUAAAACUUUCAAUAACGGUCACUUAAGUAUUGGGAUACUUUCAAAAAUGGCCACUAAAGUUUAAAAAGUUUUUGAAACGGUCGCUGAAGUUGAAAAAUACUUUUUUAGUUUUUUUUGUUACAUUUGCGACAAGUUUUCGGCUACUUUCAACCACCGAUACCAUCGAAUUUUGAUAUCGUUGGAAAGCCCACAAUGUCCUCUUCAAUUACCAUUCAAAAUCUCUCCGUAAUACCAAGGAAUUCGACCGAAAAAUCACCGCAAAAGUCGCUCCAAAAAAAUCUGAAAAUAUGCCCAAAUUUUCAGAUUUUUGGGCUACAUUUACGGCAAUUUUCCAGCAAAUUUCGACCACCAAGACCACCGAAUUUUGAUACUGUUGGAAAUUCCACAAUGUCCUCUUCAAUUACCAUCCAAAAUCUCCUCCAAACUCCAAAGGAUUCAGCCGUAAUAAACCCGCAAAAUCGGCAUCCCAAAAAGGUGAAAAUCUGGGAUGUCAACUUUGUGAGUUUAUUCCGGCCGAAUCCUUUGGAGUUUUGGGGAGAUUUUAGAUGCUAAUUAUAGAGGACAUUGUAAGCUUUCCAACGGUAUCAAAAUUUGGCUAUUUUGAUGGUCGGAAGUUGUCAAAAAAUCGCCACAAAAAUCCACCAAAAAUCUGAAAAUUUGGACAGAUUUUUGCCUUUUCGGGUAGCCAACUUUGUGGGUUUAUUCCGGCCGAAAUCUUUUGAAUUUGGGGGAGAUUUUUUUUAAUUGAAGAGGACAUUGUAGGCUUUCCAACAGUAUCAAAAUCCGAUGGUAUCGAUGGUCGGAAGUGGUCGAAAAAUUGCAGCAAAAGUAGCUCAAAAUUUUUUAUAUUUCAGUCUACAUUUUUGAAAGUGUCCCAAUACUUAAGUGACCGUUACUGAAUGUUUUAAACUUCAGUGACUGUUUUGUAAUUUUUCUGUAAGUUCAAUGAUCGUUUGUGAAAUUAACCCGUUAAAGAAUGGGAAUGGGGUGCACUGGUAUGGUGUGGUAUGGGUUAGGGUAAAAUUUUUUUAGUUGUGAUUAAUANNNNNNNNNNNNNNNNNNNNNNNNNNNNNNNNNNNNNNNNNNNNNNNNNNNNNNNNNNNNNNNNNNNNNNNNNNNNNNNNNNNNNNNNNNNNNNNNNNNNNNNNNNNNNNNNNNNNNNNNNNNNNNNNNNNNNNNNNNNNNNNNNNNNNNNNNNNNNNNNNNNNNNNNNNNNNNNNNNNNNNNNNNNNNNNNNNNNNNNNNNNNNNNNNNNNNNNNNNNNNNNNNNNNNNNNNNNNNNNNNNNNNNNNNNNNNNNNNNNNNNNNNNNNNNNNNNNNNAUAAAAAUGCUUAUCACUGCCAACACCAGCUGAAACUAUAAUUCAAAUUGUAAAAAUCAAAAAACAAAUAAAUAAUAAAACUAUGAUUAGUCUCAUAUCAAGAAAUUCAACCAUUACUUCGAGAUUGUGCUUUUGACCUUGUUCACAAAGUUGAGUGGUCGAAGAAUAAAAGGAAGCAGAGAUUUGACGAGUUUGUAAUUCAACUGUUACACCAAGAUAUCAGUACAAAACCAGAAAAUAAACAAGAAAUAUAUUACAAGAAAAAAUGGCAGAAGAAUAAAUCCUCAGCCGUUCACUGAAACUCGAACCACACGUCAUCCAGAUGAAGGUCCUUUCAUUUAUGGGGCUUAGACUCAAGAAAAUACAGGAUUGUACCCGUCUGUAUGACCCACACCGAUCGCCCCAAACCCUAAGGUUUUCCUCUAUCAGAUUAAAGGAAACCACAAGGGUAAAUCACACACCAAUCCCUCCAAUACACUUAGUCUUUAGUAUCACAAAGAAAAAUCACUCAGAUUUCAGAUUCAAUCAGAGAUUGGAUAGUCACGAAGAAGGAAGGGUUUGGAAAGAUCUCGAAGCACAGCCGCAGCUGAAGAGAGGAGUAAAAUGAUGGUCCAACUGAAUUAGGGCAAGAGGUGGAAAUAUAUAUAUAUCCAACCAAGGCAGCCGUAGAUCAGAUUUUAAUCCAACGGUCAGGGGGCUCUCAGUGAUCUGAAGAAAAACGUGUUUAUUGGCUGCGUUAAAAACGCCACGCCAAAAACACGUUUUAUCUACCUUUGGGCCGGGGCGAAUCAGGGUCAAGUUAUUGGGCAAGAGCCUAGAGUAUUAAAAUAGUUAUUUGGGCUUUAGCCCAUUUGUCAUCACAGCCCAGAAAGGUUAUUGGUCAUCACAGCCCAACAACCUCCACCUUGAUGCCAAUGGGAUUUCUGAACACUUGCAGCCCUUCUAUUGACACCAAAUUUGUACCUGCAUUUAAAGAAUUAACCUGUAUCAAUAUUCAAAAGUGCCAAACAUGAUUUAAACUUAGAAAGAGGCAAUACCUUUGUCCCCAUGUCUGAUGGAUUGUACUGUGUAGGAAUUUUUUCAAGAAUAACAUAUUCAUUUGAGACAAUAUCUCUAAUAAAAUGUAACUUUACAUCUAUGUGUUUAGUUCUUUCAUGAAAAACAGGAUUCUUACACAAGUGUAUUGCACUUUGGCUAUCUGAAUAAACAACUACAGGUUCAUUUAACAUCCUAAUUUCAGAUAAUAGUCCCUUAAGCCACAAAGCUUCCUUCACAGCUUCUGUGGCAGCUACAUACUCAGCCUCUGUGGUUGAUAAAGCAACUAUAGGCUGUAAUUGGGACUUCCAACUCACACAGGUACCACAAAGAGUGAACAUAUAGGCAGAAGUGGACUUUCUAUGGUCCCUAUCACUAGCAAAAUCAGCAUCCACAAAGCCUUUAAGUGUUAUUCCUUCAUUACCUCUUUUAUAUACUAAUCCUAUGCUAGAAGUGCCUUUUAAGUACCUAAGUAACCACUUAAGUGCUUCCCAAUGUUCGGGAUCAGGAUUAGUCAUAAAUCUACUUAAAGUGCUGAUUGCAUGAGCCACAUCAGGUUUGGUACAGACCAUGGUAUACAUUAUAGACCCUACAGCAUUAGCAUAUGGAACCUUUUCCAUGUACCUUAUAUCAGAUUCAUCAAUUGGGCAUUGCUCUUUACUUAAUUUGAAAUGACUAGCUAAAGGCAAANNNNNNNNNNNNNNNNNNNNNNNNNNNNNNNNNNNNNNNNNNNNNNNNNNNNNNNNNNNNNNNNNNNNNNNNNNNNNNNNNNNNNNNNNNNNNNNNNNNNNNNNNNNNNNNNNNNNNNNNNNNNNNNNUUACAUCCAUUUGUUCUAAUUCCCAAUUGUGAUGUGCAACUAAUGCUAGUAGGACUCUUAUAGUUGUGUAUUUUACAACGGGUAAAAAUAUCUCAUUGUAAUCUACACCCUGUUUUUGUGUAAACCCUUUAGCAACUAAUCUUGCUUUAAAUCUCACAGGCUCAUUAUCUGAACUGCCUUCUUUCACCUUGUAAAUCCAUUUACAGUCAACUAUGGAUUUAUUUUUGGGUCUAGGCACAAGAUCCCAAGUUUUAUUCUUCAUUAGAGAACUCAUCUCUUCUCUCAUGGCAACUUCCCACUUGCCAGACUGGUUACAACUCAUGGCUUCACUAUAGGUCUUAGGUUCCUUAUAGGCUAGGUCAUUAUAAGACAUGACAGAAUAGGAUAGAUAAUCUUCAUAUCUUGUAGGUUCUCUUAUGUUCCUUCUAGGCCUAUCCCUAGUCAAUUGAUAGUCACUAAGAUCACUUUGUUGAUUGGGAUCAUACAUUUCAGUUUGUUCAUGUUUCUCCACACCUGAAUUUUCUAAUUCAGUUUGAGUCUGAGGUAGUGUAGGUUCAUUUUCUCUCACAUUAUCAGGAACAUAAUCAGUUUGAGAUCCCAACUCCACCUGAAACCUUGUCACACUUGGGUUUUCAGGGUCUGCAGACUUUUGUUUUUCUAAACAGGGCAUCUCUUCCUCAUUGAAGGUAGCAUCUCUACUUGUUAUCAUUUUAUACCCCCUUGACCUCUAGCCCAUAAUCUAUAGCCCUUAAUUCCUUCAGGAUAACCUAAGAACACACAUUUCUGAGCCAUUGGCUCCAGUUUUCCCAAAUUCUGGUGACAAUAAGCUGUACACCCGAAUAUUCUAAGGUGGGAAUAGUCUGGUAUUUUCCAGACCUCUUCUCUUCAGGUGUCUUACCUUCCAAAGCACUAGAAGGGGUUCUAUUCACUAUAUAUGUAGCUGUCAUUACAGCCUCCCCCCACAACACCUUAGGAACUCCUGAUCCCAUCAUCAUACACCUAACCUUAUCCAACAAGGUCUUAUUCAUUCUCUUAGCCACCCCAUUCUAUUGAGGUGUGUAUGGGACAGUUUUGUGUCUUAGGAUUCCAUUUGAUUCACAAAGUUUAUCAAAUUCUGAGUUGCAAAAUUCAAGUACAUUAUCAGUUCUCAAAAUUUUAAUCUUUGUAGACAUUUGAUUUUCAAUAAGAACUUUCUAGCUUUUAAACUUUUCAAAGGUUUCAGAUUUGUGCUUUAGUAGAAACACCCACACCUUUCUUGAAAAGUCAUCAAUUAUUGAGAGGAAAUAGUUAUUUCCCCCUGGAGUAGUUGUGGAGGUUGGACCCCACAAAUCUGAGUGGACAUAUUCCACUGGAGAAGUAGUUUUAUGUUUUUCAGAAUUAAAAUGGAGUCUGUGAUGUUUGCCAAAAGUGCAGCUUUCACAGAACGGUGUUUGUGAUAUUUGGUCCUUACCAAAUACCCCCUUUUAUGUAGGAUUGUGAGGCCUUUUUCACCAACAUGUGCAAGCCUCUUAUGUCAUUUUAAGGUGGAAUCAGAUUUAGUAUUAGAGAUAGUUGAAUUAUUUUCAAGUAUUAUUUCAGCUCUAACUACAUAGAUUCCAUUUUUCUUGACACCCUUAAAGAUGACAAGAGAUCCCUUGAUCACUUUCAUCAAUCCAUCCCUAAUCCUACCACACAGCCCUAGGUCAUCUAAUUCUCCCAUAGAGAUCAGAUUUCUUUUAAGUUCAGGAACAUACCUCACUCUCUCUAGGGUAUACAAGUAUCCAUUUUCAAAUUUUAGGGUCACAUUACCUAGUCCUUCAACUCUGCAGGCAAUAUUAUUCCCCAUCACCACUUCACCAUCAGCUAACUUCUUAAAAUCUUGAAGCCAGGACCUUUCAUGUGUAAUAUGAAAGGUACAACCUGAGUCCAAAAUCCACUCAUGAACAUAUCUAUUGUGGGCAUAAUUUGCCACCUCCAGAUNNNNNNNNNNNNNNNNNNNNNNNNNNNNNNNNNNNNNNNNNNNNNNNNNNNNNNNNNNNNNNNNNNNNNNNNNNNNNNNNNNNNNNNNNNNNNNNNNNNNNNNNNNNNNNNNNNNNNNNNNNNNNNNNNNNNNNNNNNNNNNNNNNNNNNNNNNNNNNNNNNNNNNNNNNNNNNNNNNNNNNNNNNUAUAGCAUUAAGAAGUAUUACUGCUUUAUAUUCUUCAGAAAUUUUAACCCCUGCAUUGGUGAUAUCUUGUACCAAUUUAUUAAAGGUAUCAAGAUUAUCAUCCAGGUCUUUGGUUGGAACAAUCUUAAAACUAAAAAACCUUUCUAGAAGAAAGAGUUUAGUAGGUAAGGAUUUCACUAAGUACAGUUCCUCUAAUUUCUCCCAUAAGGCCUUAACAUUUUCUAAUUUCCCUACUUUCCUUAGCACUUGGUCAGAUAGGUGGAUAAUUAUUGAGGUAUAGGCUAGGUCAUUUGAUUCAGUUUUCUGAUCUUGUGUCAUUGUUUCAGGAAACUCUCCAGUUAUUGCCUUAGAGACUUUUUGUUGUACUAAAACCCCUCUCAUUUUUUGCUGCCAUAUUGGAAAAUCUCCCUUCCCAUUAAAGACCCCAAGUUCAAAACUAGUGGAAGUCAUUUUCUAGAUCAAACAGGUCACACUCAGUAAUUUCUAAUUUGAUCACAACAUACAAGUGAGGAAAAACAGAGAUUCUUCAUAUCACAGGCAAAGCAACAUACUGUGUGUAAGUGCCGAAAUAACAAUUUAAAAUACACACAGUCUUCAACACCAAGUUAAAGAAAUCAACUACCCUGCCCUACCAGGAUUCCGUGAGACUCAAGAUCUCAGGUCAAAGCUUGGGUGAAGGGUAGAGGUUUUGUUUUAUAAAAAAAAAGAUUAAGAGAGAUAUUAAUACAGAAUAUAAGAACAGAACACACAGUUGCAAUCUUCAAGCACAUCAAGAAUCAGUAACUAAAACACAAGUAUAUUUCAAUACUUUUAUCAGAUGAAUAUAGGCAGAAUAACUUUUAACACAAAGAUAUACUGCAAUACUUUCAUCAAACAGAUGUAGGCAGAUUCACGCUAAGUACACAAGCAUACUGCAUUACUUUUAACAAAAAACAAGUAUAGACAGUUUUAAUGCUUAAGUACAAAGUUCCAAAUUCACAAAACAAUUAACAAGAAAAAUUACCAAUCAACUAAGACAUGUAACGAAAAAAUCAGGCAGUAAAGUUUUGAGUUCAAGAAUUAAACCACAGUGGUGGUCAUUUCACUUGACCACACGCAGUUUCCACGAAGGCGGCAGUCAACAGUACCCAAACUCGAACAACUCAAAUAACCGAAGCAGUUUUUCACCAAGAAAAAAUAGAUUUAUCACAAAGAACAUCGAGAUCUAGGGUUUUGACUCUAAAAAGAAUUUACCAGAUCACUGUAUCAGGUAAGAACGUGGUUUGAUUUACCCACACGAGCCAGAGGAAGGCUCUGAUACUACUGUUACACCAAGAUAUCAGUACGAAACCAGAAAAUAAACAAGAGAAAUAUUACAAGAAAAAAUGGCAGAAGAACAAAUCUUCAGCCGUUUACUAAAACUCGAACCACACAGCAUCUAGAUGAAGGUCCUUUCAUCUAUGGGGCUCAGACUCAAGAAAAUACAGGAUUGUACCCGUCUGUAUGACCCACACCAAUUGCCCCAAACCCUAAGGUUUUUCUCUAUCAGGUUAAAGGAAACCACAAGGGUAAAUCACACACCAAUCCCUCCAAUACACUUAGUAUUUAGUAUCACAAAGAAAAUCACUCAGAUUUCAGAUCCAAUCAGAGAUUGGAUAGUCACGAAGAAGGAAUGGUUUGGAAAGAUCUCGAAUCACAGCCGCAGCUGAAGAGAGGAGUAAAAUGACGAUCCAGCUGAAUUAGGGCAAGAGGUGGAAAUAUAUAUAUCCAACCAAGGCAGCCAUAGAUCAGAUUUUAAUCCAAUGGUCAGGGGGCUCUCAGUGAUCUGAAGAAAAACGUGUUUAUUAGCUGCGUUAAAAACGCCACGCCAAAAACAAUUUUUAUCUACCUUUGGGCCGGGGCGAAUCAGGGUCAAGUUAUUGAGCAAGAGCCUAGAGUAUUAAAACAGUUAUUUGGGCUUUAGCCCAUUUGUCAUCACAGCCCAUAAAUGUUAUUGGUCAUCACAGCCCAACAUCAACCUUGGUGGAGGGUGAUGAAACUGGGAUUCAAGACGAGAGGGUGGUGCCUAUGGUCUAGUUUCAUGGGCUUAUCAACAAGAAAGGCUCUAAUUAUUGCUAUUGAACCAAAGUAAUAAACAUGAUGUAGCAUACGGUUUUGAGAAUUUAUUGACCUAAUCAAUAAACAAUCAAAUGGUCAACUCAGACAAUUACAACUAUAUACAGGAUCAGAUACAAAGAUAACCAAAUCUUUCCUUACAAAAUAAUGCAAGACAAAACACAAAAACUAAAAUAUCUACUGCAGUUUUAAUCACAAAUUUUAUCAAACAUUAACUAGAACUAUACGUCAAAUUAUAGCCAAUUGUAUAAAUCAGUCAAGAGAUUGAUGUAGAUUUUAUCACAAAAUGAGACGCAUUUCGGUUUCAUGCAAGACUUGGAAAUGGAAUUGGAAUAUGUUUUUCCAUCUACAAAGACAUGGUUAUAUUACUAACCCAGUGUCUUGAAGAUGCAAGAUAACUAAAAUGUUGUGUAACUAACACCAAUACGUAAUUAUAUUGAGAACUAGAGCUCGAAACUCAAUUUUGGAGCUUAUUAGCUGUGUCACAUUUGAGUGGAGCUCGUUGGCUAUUUUAUAAGCACACAGUGUGAGACUACAUAUAAGAUGCCACAAAUACUCUACCCGCAAAAAUGUAGAUUUGUGUGCUUAUAAAUGCCACAGAUACUCUACACACAAAGUGUUAAAAACAAUCACACACUUUGCAUGUUUAUAAGAAAGUCAAUAUGCUCCACCAAGGUCACUAAUAGAAUUAGAUAUAAUAUUGAGGCAAAUUAAACUGUCAGAAUAAAUAAUAAAGGCAAUAGCAUACGUUCUAAAUCUAUUAGAUCAUAGCAAUGACUUUUUAACUAGCCAUUUCUCUUUUUUAAUCUAAUUUUCUAAUUUAUUUUAGGACAACUUGUGCCCAUGGCUUACAAGCCAUGACCUCACAAAAUGCAUGAAUAAAAUAUGACCGUUAUCCAUCACAUUAUUUGUAUAAGACCCAUAACGACUAUAUUUUUCAUUCUCAUCCUUACAUUAAUCGAAAACAAACGGGGCAUAAAUUCCGUACUAAUAAAAUAUGUUUCAUUAAUCAACGGAAGUCUAGACUGCUGAUGAAUUUUAUAUGAUAGCAUUAUUAUGUUAAGCUUGUGUCUAGUCCACAAUUUCUUUCCUUUUUUUUUUUUUGAUAGAAUCAAUUUUCAUUAACAAUCAUUUGAAGGUCCAUUCGCAUUUCAUGUUUUUUGCAAGACAAAUUGUGACACCGAAGAAACAUAACAUCUCAUCCCAUCAAUACUUUUGCUUUUUAAUAAUGACAUGUUUGCCCUGUUCGGAUUUUCAAUUUGAUGUGUAAUUUCAUGACACAAUCACAUUGUAGAGUAACUUUUUGGCCCAAGAUACACCAAAGUCAUAGGUUUCGUUUCUUUAAUGGAAAGGGUAAUAUAAUUUUUGGAUAUGCUUAUCGAGGGACACAUUUGGUACUUCAAAGGAAAGUGUGCACAAGGGUGUCAACUUUUGGACCACUAUUACUAAUUUCAAAUUUUCAAAUUUCAUAGCAAAUUCUACUAAAAAUCUUAUUUCUAACAAAACCAGACAUGGGCGAAGUAACAUGAUAAAAUGAAGAUAAUUCUCUCAAUAUUUAUAAGGGGAAGCUAACCUGACACGACUUGUCCCGAUUUAACCUAAUUGACUCGACACGUGUUGUGCGCCGAUGGUAGAUGCCAGCUAAAUGCCGGACCCACCACCAAGGCAAAUGUGACCUACUUGACCAUGACAUAAUUCUAUAAAAAUUUUGACAGAGUUUUCCUUGUAACAUGGACAAAACCAACCUGAAAAAUCAUCAAAAUCUCAAAUAGACAUUUAAACCAAAAGUUUUGGAAACCACCACUGCCUCUAAUAACACCACAACUACUACAAAAUAUAACAAAAUUCGACUGAGUGCUUCUACAACAUCAUCAUGUCAACAUGCAAGCAUUACAUUAAUUACCAACCUUUCUACGAAGUGCAUGACACACCAAAUAUUAGACAAGUACUUAAUAAACAUGAGUUCCCCAACUAUACAUUACAUACUAUGAAAUGGCCUCUUUUGCUUCAGCAGGCUUUUCUCAGUAUCUCAAAAAUCAAUGGUCUCCUGAUAGGAAAAACAUGACAAAAAUAUGAGUUUGUAACUCAGUGAGUGAAUGAUUUCUAAAUAAGUAAACUUUUUCCAUUUAUGCAUAUUUUUUUAAAAUUCUUACUUUAUUAAAUCCUUGAGGAUUUCUGAAUCUACUAAUACUUUUAAAAACUAAACAUGAUUACAUUAUAAAAUUCUUUGUUCUAAAUUCUAGAUAAGUAUCUGUAAGGUAUAACAAAUAUAAAGAAUCUGAUAUUCAUGAAAAUCUAUGAAAUAUUGCUGCUGCUCAAUAGUAUAAGCUGAAAGCUUUAUUCUGAAAACUGAAUUAACUGACUUUCAUAAUCUGAAAUCUGAGAACUGAAUAAAUACUGAAAAAUCACACCAAAAAGAGUAUCCAAUGAAUAGCGUUACUCAUGUACAGAGUAAUCUCAAUGUACAAGCCAAAGCCAUUCAAAUCUGAUAAUCUGAUCGCUGAUAAUCUGGUCAUACGUACGCAGAGCUGCCCCAAAGGCUAGUCACCCUAGUACACGGUCCAAAGCCCAUGUGUGUACGAGAGUGGGGCCCAAAGACCUAUGAUAAUUUGGUCAUACACUAUGGAAACACAUUCACGAUAGUGCAGAGCGGGUAAAAUCACUAUAACUAGUCAUACACUGUGGAAACACAUUCAUAUCAGUGCAAACUGGGGUAAAAUCACCUGGGUACUUUCUGGUGGUUUUUAGAAAUAACUUUAACUAUAUUGAAACACGUAAUAAGAAUAUAACAUGCUACUAGAAUAAUUUAACUGAACUGAAUUUAACUUUAAAAGAAAUUGAUAAUAAAAUCCAUUUUAUUCUGAAAAUCAUGCUAUGAAGUCAAUUUUAUAAAAUAAAUAACUUUAAAAUUUAAAGAAGACUUAUUUCUGAAAAAUAAGUUUUAUCCACUCACAAGGUAUGAGCUACAAGCUAGAUUGGCUGAUAAACGUUUCCAAUUUCCUCGCCACCACCUGAAAUACGAUAUUAAUAACCAAUUUAUCCUCUAUCUAAUCAAGAAACCUUAAUAUCUAAUGAUAGAACUUAAAAUUAAAUUUUCUGGACACUUGAAUAAGUUCUCAAAUUUUCCUUUAUUAAUUGGAGCUAAUCACACUUUAUAAUCCAUUGACUAAUAACUAAUUUAUCAACAUAACCUUCACUUCCAAACAUCACUAUGACAUCCACAUCAUUCAAGUGACAAGAAGUUGCUAUAAUUCAACUAAUUAAAAUUUUCCUCUUGUUCCAUAAUUUCAUGCUUCCAAUUAAUUAUUUUCUCAACAUCAUCAUUUCCAUAAACAUACUUAAUCCCAAAAAUCCCAAAUAAAAUUUCUAGGGUUUGCUAAAAUAAUAUCCCUUACGUAGCUGAAAUUGGAAAUGAAGAAAUCCUCAAACUUGAGCUCCAAUUCGUACAAAUAUCACCUAAAAUUUGACAUUUUAUUCUACAAGUUAAAACUCUAAAAAUUUAAUAUAAAUCAUACUUAAUCACUCGAAAACAAGUGAAAAAAUUAAACCCAACUUGAAGAGAUUAACCUCACCUCUUUUCUUCUUCUUUUUCCUUUCUUCUUUUCCUUUUCCUUUUCCUUUUUCCUUUCUUCCUUCCCUUCCGCCGGUCUCUG
rnacentral:lncRNA from 1 species